GAACCCAUACCUAUAAGCACAUUAUUAACAGAUCGCAAAGCAUAUGCCUAAAACCCUUUAACAAAACAAUCUAAUAUCAUUCAAUGAAUUUACAAGGGGAAGAUAGGGUUUGUACUUACAGGUUGGACGAGCUCACAGAUUCGACGGAGCCUGGAGAGUGCAACUUUUAAUUAGAGCAGAAGUGAGAGAGCGAAAUGUUAUGUUGCGCGAAAUCUGAAAAUUUUAGGGUUCAGGGUUAGAAGUAUAAGAAUAAGAGCCAAAUCUAAAAAAUUUAGGUCGCGCGAAAAUUUUUAGAGAGCGCGCUCUUUAAAACGUCGAAAGAAAAACCAUGGCGAAAGUUCUACAAGAACCGACGUAAAUGUAAUAUUCCACGACGGAAACACUGAACGUAACGCCGUUUAUUUUGACGCUUCAUUUUUCGGAUUAAUUUUAAAUUUAUUUUGAAUAUUUUGAUAUAAAGACGACUGAAAAACCACGUCGGGGUUAAGAAAUUGAAGACGUUGUAAAUUAUAAUAGACGACUUACAUAUUAAAAUGACGUCGUUUAAAGUAUAAACCAUGUCGGAUAUUUUACUGCACGACGUAACAUAUGUAUUCCACGACUCAACCACCGUCGUUAAAAAUUAAUACCCUAAACCCUUAAAACUAAAUUAUAUAAUUUAAAAAAUUAAGUUUAUAAAAGGGUUUAUGGUUUUACAGCCUAAUAUAUACCCUAGACUACCCAAAAAUUAUACUUUAAAAAUAUACCCCAAUAAAUAACAACCCUAAUCUCUAAACCCUAGACUCUAAACCCUAAACCAUAAAACUAGAAGUGAUUUUAUGACUCAUCAAAAUAAUUUUAUUUUGGAUGGUCAUUUUAAAUUUUUGUUAUUCAAAAUGAAUUUUUUCAAGGUUUAGGGGGAAGAAAAUAUAUCAAUGACUUCAUAGGAGUUGACUUUGCAUUUUUCUGAUUUAUUUUAAAUUUAUUUUGAAUAUUUUGAUAUAAAAAUAAUAAAAUAUUCUUAUCACAAUAACAAACCACGUCGGGGUUAAGAAAUUGAAGACGUUGUAAAUUAUAAUAGACGACUUACAUAUUAAAAUGACGUCGUUUAAAGUAGAAACCAUGUCGGAUAUUUUACUGCACGACGUAACAUAUGUAUUCCACGACUCAACCACCGUCGUUAAAAAUUAAUACCAUAAAUCCUUAAAACUAAAUUAUAUAAUUUAAAAUUUUAAGUUUAUAAAAGGGUUUAUGGUUUUACAGCCUAAUAUAUACCCUAUACUACCUAAAAAUUAUACUUUUAUGUCGGAUUUGUUUAAAAUGAAACAACAAAAAACUACGGUUUUUCACUUUAUUAGGUCGUUGGAAAAGUAUUACACGUCGGUUACGCAAUUUGUAUGUUUGUUUUUUUUUAAUUUAAGAAAACCUCAACAAAUUUUUACAUUAUAUAUUAUAGACAAAAUUUAUACAUUAUACAUCAAUAUCAAGUGUUCAAUAAUUUCCCUAUUCUAUGUGAAGGCAAACAAACUCUGCCCAUUCAUUCCGGACUUCAUCAAUUGCUUCUUGGGGGUAUGGCGCUUCCUGUUUUCUCUUGGCAUACUGCAUAAACAAUGACUAUUAGGGUUUAUAAAUAAAAAGAAAUUCAAUCACAGACGACGAUAUUUUUCAUAACCGACGUAGUAUAUCUAUUCAACGACGGUAAUUUUACAUGACCGUCGUUGAUAAUACAAAAAACGACGUAAAAUGUAUGAAGGUAAUUUCUUCUUACCUUCUUCUCAAACGCCAAGGAAGGAUCCAUGAUGAUGUCCCUCAUGAAGCGCAUCACAUAAUACCCGCAUUCGACACUGCUGGGUUGCUUUGGUGUGCCUGACAGAGUUUUCCAAAUUACUGCUUUACGGCCUGAUCUGGCUAUGUGAGAAUUAUAUAUUUUUAUAGCACUGUUCACGAUGUUUUUGCCCUCUUCAUCGACCACACGAUUUCCGGGUAGAGGAUCUAGAAAAUAGACGGUUUCCCUCUUUGCUCUCACAAUCAGCAAGAUCCAAUGACGGCUGCACAAAAUUAAUAUAAAAACGACGGUUAUUUACAAAAACGACGUAUUAUAAUAUUUCACACGACGAAAUAAAGUAGCAAUCGACGACAUUAUAUAUUUAUCACGACGAUAAAUAACUACCGACGUGGUUAGUAGUUUCAAACGACUCAAUAAAAUAAAACACCGACGUGGUUAGUUUAUACGCUGUCAUUUAUUGAAAAUCAUAAAAACAAAAUCCUGUUAAGGAGACUAACCCUGGAUUGUAAGGCAUCAUGAAAAUCUGUUCACCAUCAGUCUUCUGAAGUCGAGCUGCUACCAAUCGUGAUCUGUCAGCUAUUGUCCCAGAGUUGGCACUAACUGUAGCAGGGUCGAUAAAGCCAACCAUGCUGCACAUAUUUGCUUGUUUCAAAAGAUCAUGUAAGUACCUAAAUAUAUAAAAUAAUAUAAACAAGUCAGCACAAAAAAACACACGACGGUUAUGUAUAACAAAACGACGUAUUAUAAAAUUUCACACGACGUACUGAAAUAGACAACGACGUUAUAAUAUAUUUAUCACGACGGUACAUACUAACGACGUGGUUAGUUAGUUAAGACGACGCAAUAAAUAAACCAACGACGUAUUAUUUUAGAAUGACAAACCUCAUAUAUACAGCAAUCACAGUAGCUCAUAUUUCUUCCGUGCUUGCAAAUUGUGUAAUAUCUUCAGGCAAGAUGAAGGUAUCGCGUUCUAGACCAAACACCUCCUUAUCAAUUGUAAAGUUCAUGGUCUUAUCCUGAGGUACGAGUGUCGUUUCCACAUAACGACAAAGGGAUUUUAAAGAAGAUGGCGCCUCCAUAUUUGAAUAAUCAACAACUUUAAUAACCUGUUUAAAGAAAUAAAAAAAAAUGACGUGGUAAUUCAAUAAAAACGACGGUUUAAGGAAUAAAACGUCGUCUGAAAAGAAUUUAAACGACGGUGAAAAAACCGUCGUGGUGAACAAUUUAUUACGUCUUAGAAAAAAAUUCCGCCGUCUAAGUUGUAAACAAACGACGGUUUAAAGAAAAAUAUCGACGUCUGAAAUUUUUAAAAACAAAUAAAAAAGGCAAAGUUAUGUGAACAUACCUGGUCGUCAUGCUUUUCUUCAUCUUCUUUCUCCUUUUCAUCUUGUUUUUCUUCUUUCUUCUCUUCAUCUUUUUUUUCUUCUUCCUUCUCUUCAUCUUUUUUUUCUUCAUUCUUCUCUUCAUCUUGAUUUUCUUCAUUUUUCUGUUUUAAGUAAUAAAGAAUGUAGAGAAAGUAAAAAAAUUAAAUUCAAACGUCGUGGUAAGACAAAACACAAGACAGUAUGUAAGAAUUAUGGACGUCUUAAAUUAUUAAACGAUGGUAAAUAGUAAACGUCGUGGGAUUUAUAUAUUACGUCGGGAAUGACUAACACCGUCGUCUAAAAACCACGAAGUUUUAAAAAUAACGACGUUUAAUGGCGUGUAAAACAAGUAAACUAAAUACGACGUGGUAUUGAAAUACAAACGACGGUUUAUUUUUAAAAUCGUCGUGGUAUGUAUUUCAAACGACGGUUUUAUUAAUAAUAACGACGUCUAAUAGUUUUAAAAAAAAAUAGAGAAUUCAAAGUUCAGAUAUGUUACCUUUUCUUCCUGAUGUUUCCCAUUUUUGGCAGUAUCAUCCUCAAAAUGUAGGGAUGUCACAUCACCUCCAGAGCAGCUUGCUUUGUCAGACAUUGGAUUUUUGGGACUUUGGCUAAUUCUUGGUUUAAGCAUGCUUGGAUCAAAAUUGGGAAUUAAUUGGGAAAGCUGACUCAGGAAAUGCUCCCUCUCAGCCUCUACCAAUUGUUUAGUUCUAACCUCCAUCCUUAAAGCCUCUUCCCUUGUUUAAAACAUUUCGACGUAGUAAUUUAAUACAAACGACGCGAAAAUGAACCACCGACAUCUUAUGCUAUAAUUACAGAAAACAGAGUAGUGAUUCCUGAUUUAGACCUUUAACGAUGUUUUUUAAAAACUUUCGACGUGGUAAUAUCAUUCACACGACGCAAAAUAUAACAUAAGACGUAAUAAGAAUUAUUCACAGUUUAAUAAAAAUUUAAAACAGAGUGAGUAGGCUUACAAUUAAUUUUGCUUUCUCUGCCACCUUUGGAUCCGGGAUGUUACCAUGUUUGUCCUGUCUAGCUCUCUUCCAUAUGGUAGAUCGAUCAAUUUCUACCCCAGGCAUGGUUUCCUCCAAUUGAUCCUCCAAACCAGCAUAUCCUUUUCGAGACAAUCGAUGAUUGUACUCAAGUUUCUCCCUAAUCUGUGCAUGUUGAGAAUGCACAGACUCAAAAUCUUUGGAUAACCUUGAAGCUACAAAGGCAUUCCAUUGUGCUUUCUCUAUGAAUUUAUAUGUUUCAGGGGUUGGCUUAAUCUCUCCCUGUCAUUGGUGUAUGGAAGGAUAUAAUGCCUCGUUAGUGUAGACUUGAAAUCCUUCCAUUUCUUGACAGCAGAAGCUAACACAGAGUUCUUGCCCCCUUGACCUACCACAAAAGCAAUGUCAACUGCUUCCCAAAUCUGCUCCUUUAUAUCCUUGGGGAUUUGAGCCCAUUUCAUGUCCACAAGUGAAACUCUGGAGCGUGCCAACACACCAAUGUAGGACUGCAUCUCACUAUGUGCUUGGUCAAUUCCUUUCCCCCUUUUAUUGUACUCAAAAAUUGGCCUGAGUUUCUGAAGUUUUUUCUUCACAACACGAGGCAUUGUGCUCAUACCUCAACCAGACUUUGAAUCAUCAGAGAUUGUUGUCGUGCUGGUUGGUUCUGUCUCAGCAGAUGAUGAAGCAAACUUCAUCUUCUUCGAAGACUUCUCUUGAGGAGUUACCAUUCCAAGCUCCUUACCUCCAUUUUUCUUAGAGCCAGAGUCCUUACUUUGGUCUUGAGAAACCAUUUUUACAGACAAAACUGCAAGUGAAAAUAUUUCAGGAAAAGAUUAAGAACACAAACGACGGUUAUUAAUAAAAUAAGACGUAUGAUAUGAUUUUAAACGACGCAAUGAAAUAAUCUCAGACGUAAUAAAUGUUUAAAACCAAGGUAAUUAAACAACGACGAAAUAAUAUAAAAUAAGGCGUAAUAAUAACUUAUUACGUCGAUAUUUACCGGAUGGCGUGAUAAUUAACUAUAAACGACGAAAUAUUUAUAUAACGUCGUGGUAUUGAUGUUCACACGACUUCAAUAGUAAUAUACCGUCGUCUAUAUAAGGAUCCAAAACCCUUCUUUUUUUCUCUGUGAAUGUUUGAUUGCAGAUUUGAUUUUUCUGAACCAUGGUUUUUGUUUUCUAAUUUGAUAAAAUACAAGGCCAAGAAAGAAAGUUUUGGAAUCUUAUAUAGACGACGGUAUUUUAAUAUGAUGUCGUGGUAUUAACAUUCACACGACGUAAAACAAUAAGAUACUGUCGUCUAUAUUAGAUACCAACCCUACUUUCUUUUUCUUUAUAUUUUAUCAAAUUAGGGAAAAACAAAAACCAUUGUUCAGAGAAAUCAAACCUGCAAUUAAACAAGCAAAUAAAAAAAAAGACUAUAAUUUUAAAAACAACUUUGUCAAUUUUCAGACGACGCUAGAACGACUGACGAACCGUCGUGGUCUACAUAUUUAACCACGUAAAUAAGAAGCUACCGUCGUCUUAUUUAGUUGAGGUAGUUGUCUUCAAAGUUGGAAACUUUCCCUCUGUCUGUAUAUUUUAUCAAACUUGGAAAUAAGUAAAAUGAUUUUGGCCAGAAAAAAGGUAAAAAGAUUUUUCAAACAAAAAACGUAUGAGCAUGCAUAACAGCAACCAAAAUAGUGAAAAUGAAAGCUUACCUUUUGCGUGCAAUGAAAGCAAGAAGAAGACGAUGUUUAAGUUCAGAGAUGACGAAGAAGACGAAAGGAAGACGAUGAGAUACUCUGACAGUGCUCUGACAAGGAAAAAAGUCAAAAAGUUUUCUCUGGGAGAUUGAAAUUUUUAAUCGGGUUUGGAAACAGUGCAUGUGUAAGUCAGGGAGACGAAAAGUUGCUUACAUAUAAAACCAUUUCAAAAAAAUAAUACGGCGGUUACAUAUAACUACGACGUAUAAAUUACAAAAUACGACGGUACAUUUAACUUCGGACGUGGUAAAUAAAUACGACAGUAGUGUUGUAGGUACCGUCGUAGUAAACUCAAAAAUUAAAGUACAUAAGUAAUAACUCGCGUCAUGGUAGAUUAUUUAACACGUCGUCUUUAUUAAUGUACCGACGUGGAUUUCUGUAAUAUACGUCGGUCAUACCGACGUUGAUUUUAUAAUUUAAACGGCGGUUUUUUUGUAAGGACCGCCGUUGGUUUUAAAAAUUUAUUCUAUAAAUUUGUCGCUUUCAUUCAUUUUCGGUUUACAUUUCGGGUUCCAAGUUCUUCCUCUCUCAGAGACACUGUCUCUCACAUCUCAAAGACAAUAAUUUGGAUGUCUUUCUCAAAGAGAAAUUGAGCUUACUCGCAUCAAAUCUAUGUCCACAAGAAGAAGCUUGUCAACUAGCCUUCUCACUUCCUUGAUCAAGCCUGAUAGGACACUUAGUGCUUCUGAAUACUCCUUGCUUUCCAUCAAAAGAGAUGCAAGCCUGGCCUCCACUCGCUGUCGAAGGAAAGUUCGCUUCUCAGGGAAAUCUGAAGAUCAGAUGUGCCUGAUCCUCUGCUUGAUUUUCUUGGCUAAGAAGAUCCGUCAGAUUUGUGAUAGCCUCUUCCUUUAUCCGUAGAGCUUCAGAAGAAGAAGAUGGGUUUCAAGAAUGCGAUAAAGAAUAGAAAUGGCUUCAGAUGGCCUCUAAAGCAUGAGCAAUCGAAUCAGUAGUUGCUGGGAGAUAUGAUGAAGACAUUGUCAAUGCUUUGAACUAUACAAGUCCUGCAGAAAGAUAAAGGACCAAACUAUUAAAGAAACUGAAACAACGGCGGUUUUCUGUUCUACCGUCGUCUUUUCUCGUCGUCUAUAUUAAGGUAAGAUGGCGGUAGAUUUAUAAUUACCGACGUAGAUUAUUUUGUUAAACGUCGUUAAGUGUACUACAACCGACGUGGAUUUUAUUUUUAAAUUAUAAAUAGAGUUUUUUUUUCCCGAAUUCUUUCAGUUUUAGUUUUCAAUUACAAAGCGUGAUAAAUAGAUUUUUCUUUCCCGAGGAAAUUUAAAAUGAGGGAAAUUAAUGUUCUAGAAUUUGUAAACUAACACGACGCAAUAUUACUAACCCGAGGAAAUUAUAAAUAGAUUUUGCUUUCCCGAAGAAAUUUUAAAUUAAUUCAGUUUGAAACAACGACGGUUUUUUGUUAUGCCGUCGUUUUUAACUAACACGACGCAAUAUUUGUUUUACGACGUGGAAUCUUUUCAUUUAACGUCGUUAGGUUUAAUAUAACUGACGUGGAUUUGAAUUUUUAAAUUAUGAAUAGAAUUUUUUUUCCCGUGACCUUUCAGUUUAUUUUUCAAUUACAGUGCGUUAUAAAUAGAGUUUUUUUUUCCGGAGGAAAUUUAAAAUGAAGGAAAUUAAUGUUCUGGAAUAUGUAAACUUUCUUUUUUGGAUGACAGAUUUAAAUAAAAUAAGAAUAUAAAAACAACGACUAUUUUUGUAUUACUAUCGUCGUUUUUCGUCGUCUUAAGUAAGACUAAGACGACGUAAUAUAUUUGUUGAGCGACGUUGAUUUGUUUUUUAAACGUCGUUAGGUAUAAUAUAACCGUCGUUGAAAAUUGUCUCUCUGAUUGCAAAUUUGCAACGACGUUAGGUAUAAUAUUUGUAGAUACACAAACGCACACACAUCAUCACUUCCAAAAAAUUGUCUCUCUGAUUGCAAAUCUGUGAAAUCUGUUAAGAUUAUGAUGUGGAACAGAGUUCCAUCUGGUAAGAUUUCGUAACCCUUGGGAUCUCAGACAAAUCUGAUUAUGUCGGCGGUCUUCUAUAUAAACCGUCGUGGUUAUUUCAAUUCUUGUCAUUAAGUAGAUCUACUGACGUAGGAUAAGAAAAUCAAAGAAAAAAAUAGUUAACAAAAAUUCUUAUUAAGACGACGGUUUAAAUUAAAGGUACGACGUAUAAAAUGAAUAAAUACGACGUUAAAUUUUAUUGUACGAUUUAAAGAUAACGUCGUAGAACUAUACGAGAAUGACGUCGAUAUAUUUAUAUUUUCCGUCGUUGUACAUUAAUUUAAUACGGCGAUAUUUUGUAUUUUAAAGCCGUGAAUUUGUUUGUAAUUAUACGGCGUCUUAUACGAAAACCUCGUCGUGUUAUUUUAUGAGUAAAAACGGCGGUUUUUAUUGAAAUCGUCGUCUUUACUUUCUACGUCGGUCGAUUCAUAACUUCUGCCGUUCUUUGUUGGCAUUGAUUUUACACUGCAGAAAUCUGUUUCAAAUAGACGUCGGUUGUUUAAUUAGGUACGUCGUUGUUUUUUAAUAGCCAUUUGAAUCUCCAUUUUUUAGUUGUCUAAGGUUGUAUUACACGACGGUGUUUUUAGAACCGUCGUCUUUUUAAAAAUCACGACGGUUUUCACUUAGACCGUCGUUGUUUUCUGGUCGUCUUUUUCACUUUUUGUAGUAGUGUUUGGUUCGCGUAGGUUCUUUAUUUUUCUUUGUUAAAUCCAACCAUAUAAAAACUAAAAUAUGGAUUAAGAGUUGGAAAGUUAUAGGUCAAAAAUGGGACAGAGGUCGAAACUGGAAAACCGAGGAAGUUCAUAAAUUCGUCUAUGACCUAAAAUGAGAUAAAAUUGUGGUAUCCUAGUGAUACAGAAGUGAUACAGUGGUGAUACAUAAGUGAUACAAAAUGUUGCUUGUGUUUAAUAUCCUGAUAGAUAACUUGUUUUGAAAAUAUAAAAUUAAAUAUUAAAGUAAUAUAAACUUUGACAGAAUCCAUAUUUGCUUCAAACUUUCUCAAUCAAUAACAAAAUUCCAACGAUACGCCUUCUUUCUUUUUGUAGCGCCACAAUUGAUGAUCAAGCAUGAUUUUCCAUAUUUAAACCCAAAUUUUCUGAUUUUGAAUUUUGUUCAUUUUCUAAAUUUCCUUCGUAGGAACAAGUUUAUAAUUUGUCCUACAUCAUUUCUCUUCUAAUUAAGUACGUAUCCCAAAUGUUAAAAAUAGAAUUUCAUAAAUAAAUAAAUUUUAAAAAAAUAAAAAAUUCGGUAUAAGUCCAAAAUCAAAAAUAGAAGUUGGAUGUAAUCCCCAUAUUUGUUGUUGUUGAUACAAGUCCUUUGACUUUUGUGCCACGUAUGAUUACAAUUAUUAUUAUUUUUUAUUUAUAUAUUAUUAUUUUCAUUUUUAAAUUACUGUCAUGCCUCUAAAAAUUAAUUAAGGUAAGAAAUUAAUUUUUGUCAUAAUAAUUAUGCUAUUGUCAAAAUGAUAUAAACGGAAAAUACUGCCACAAAUCACGUCUCCUAUAAGUUUUGAAAUAGCUAUUAUAUUUCAAUCAUGCUCCUAUAUGAAUGUUGGCUUUCUUUCUAUUGUGGCUUUGUAUUCUUGCACUAUGACAACUUGUACACAAGGUACAUAAAUAUUCUUUUACUCUUUGCCACAGCUUUUGUGACAGAACUCGCCCCGAAUUCCUCAAAACCCGAGACGAAUCCUAUGGAGAUUCUAACAUCACAUUGAUGACGGGCCCACUUACUAAUACUAUAGACUCUUUCCCAAACUAAAGAAAAGGGGCACGAGACUUUCUGCUGAAAUUUCAACAGAGUCUUCCCUGAAAAAUGGGUGUUUCCCAAAAAAAUUUCAACCUGCUAAAAUACAAUCAAAAUCAUCCCAACAGCAUCAUACACAAGAUAAUAACAUGUAAUUUACGUAAUAGGCCUUUGGCCUUCAAAUAAUUCGAAACAGAACUACCAGCAAUGCUCUUAAGUCAUAUAAUACAUUAAACAAUGCAAAUAAUGAACUCAAACAAAUUUAUGAAUGCCCACUGUAAUUAACAUAAAAUAACUUCCCAAUUUCCAUCAUGCGAUAUUUAACAUCCAAACACCAUCGCAAGUAGUUUAAAGCCUUAGCCCAAAUCGUACAACAAUCCAAAACGGGUUUCAUACCUGUCUUGGCUAGAAACACAUUUAAACAACACCCACUUAGUCAAACUAGAAUAUGAGUUAGUCAAACUGAAAUAUGAGUAAUCAUUUCAAUCACGCCUCAUUUUCAAUCGAGCUUCAGGACCACCAACAGAAUCAAAACUCAACUCAUCAAAAACAAAAGUAAAAAGACUAGAUCCAAAUGACUAGAUUAAAAUUUCAGAAAUAAACUUUAGCUCGAGGCUGCACCUAGGUAAGACCCCAGGCUACCUACAUACUACUUUGUGAAAGAUCAAGCCACACGUAGCUCUUAUUACAAAAAUCACAGUUCAUAUAACAUACAAUCAUUUUCAGUAAUACUAAUAAGUUUAUUCUAGAAUUAUCUUUGCCCUUAAGUUUAAAUCACAUCAUACCAAAUAUAAUCCUUUUUAAACAUUAAUCUUUUCUCGACAUAUAGUAUAAUAAUCUCUUUAUCCUCUUCCUGUUACUUUACUACACGUCGGAGAGUCCAACACCACGCGUAGUAAAGUAAUAGUAGCCCAAGUGUACAAAUCAUUUACCACACGCUGUAAAGUCCAACGCCACGUGUAGUAAAGCAAUCAGUGUCCCAAUGAGCUCACACGCCGGAAUAUCCAACGCCACGUGUGACCCAACCAACCAUGUUCCAUGUGCACAGACUGCUUUAUCACACGUUGGAUAAUCCAAUGCCACGUGUGAUAAGCUAAUAACAUAACCAUUUAUGCCCAUACGCCAGAUAAUCUAACACCACAUGUGGGUACCAUAAUCAAGGGAGGGUACUUAGCGUGGGGUAAUCCCAGAUUCACAUAACCAAACAAUAAGGUAGCCCAUCUUAUGUUAAUCUCUUGUCAUUUAUUUAAUCCAUAUUCAAAUUAAUUAUAAGCCUCAUUAACCGAAAUACCCCUUUACCAACCUUCAGUAAACCAUUUCGAUUUUAUUCAAAACACUAAUCAAAUACUUAGGAAUAAACAAUCUCUGAAAAUUCCCUAAGACAAGAUAAUAAAAUCCAAAACACCGUAUCUUACACCAGAGUUACAUAAUCUUUUAUAAAUAAUAUUAAUGGCACUAAUAAUAAUAAUAAUAUUAAUAUUAAUAAUAACAAAAUAUAAACGGGAAGUCUCUUGUGACACGAGACUUCCCGUUUAUAUUUUCCCAAAUUAUAUAUAUAUAUAUAAAUACUAUUCCCUUCCUAAAUUAAAAUUUUCCAAAUAUUUAUUUCUAGUAUAGAAAAUAAACUCUCAAGCCUAUAUUCCAUAAAGGCCCAAAAUAAUUCAAAUAGAAAUCAAAACUUGUGUAUGCUUAACUUCCAUAAAAUACUAUAUUUCAUAAUUAAAACAAUAGACUUUCGUAAAUAAUCCGAUAUCACCCAGUCCAUAUACUUUAAUAAUAAUCAUAAUAAUAAUAGUUAAUGAUAAAUAACAACCUUUAGAGAUCCCAUAUCCUCAUUAACCCAUAUUAAAUCAAUUUUCAAUCCAAAACUCAUUAUGCAAGAAAUUCCAUAUUAGAAUAACGAUGUACACUUAAAAACAAACAUCCAUUUAUUUACUAAUAAUCAUAGCCGAGACCCAAGACUCGCUUUCAUAACCCAUCGGCCAAGUAUCUCAUACUCAUCUAUUCCACAACUUCAAGUAUCAAACUAAUAAUCCAAGAAUUUUAGUCAACAUAACUCAAAUAAUAUUCAAGACUCCUUAAUAAGGUCGAUCUAGUACUCCUCGAAGGAUGAGACUACCUCAGAAGACUCAUGGUCAACCGAGGGGUCAAACUACCCAAACUGGUCAAUCGGGCCUCGGGGCCCACGACCUCAGAUUAUCGAUCCGAAAGUUCCUAAGGAUUCAACAAGAUUUAUUAGACAAGUCCCGCAAGUUUGGUCUGGAUCGUUCGCGAUCGCACGAUCGGAUGUUUAUUGUUUAAUGCAAACUUUAAGUCGUUGAAUCGGCGUAUCCGAGACUCUGAUUCACAAUCCACGAAUUCAUACAUAAUCUCAUAAAUGCCCAAAUCAACACAUAUUAAUUUGGAGUUGAUUCAACAUAUCGAACCCGGAUAACGCAUAAUGUGCGAUAUCUAAUCAAUUAUCAAACGAUAACCAAAUUCAAGUCCAAGCAUACCAUCAUGCUCGGACGACAUUGAGGUUAUUUUAGGACUCAAGGACCAGCCACAAGGUGGCCCACACGCCGGCAGCGUGUGAGUGUUCAAAGUGAUUUCGGUGAUCAAAAAUUCUCUAAACCGCCGGUCAAGACUUAUGCCUACAUGAUCAGGACAUUGAGUGGAGCAACUUUUGUUCUUUGACCUACCCCAAAAAGUGACCAGAGGUAGCUGGAAUCACGGGCCGAAACUGGCCAAAACUUCUAUCACUUAAUUGACAUCCAAAAUGGGGAAAUUGAUCCUAAAUAACCAACCAGCAGCUAGAUCACAUUGAGAGGAUGGAAAAUCAUACAUGGAUCGCAAGAUUUGGUUGCUAGAAUCGUUCGAACGAGCUCCGAAAAUUUUAUGUAAAAAUCUGGCCGUAUUUCUACAAAUUCCUGCGGCGGCGUUGGUUGUCGGCGAGGCAAAGAUAGGGUGGAACAAAGAGAGGAGACCACAGUGGUCCUUUUGGGACCCAUUCCACCCAAAAUUGUGGCUGGCUAAACAUGGCUGGUUGUUCAAAAAAUAUCGGGGGUGGGGUUCUGUUCGCGACGAGGGAGAGUUUGAGAGAGAGAGAGAGAGAGAGAGAGAGAGGUUCUGAUAUUCAAAAAAAAAAUCAACGUUGAAAAAAUUACAAUUGUGCCACUGAGCUUCUCUUAGUCGCAACUCCUUCGUUCCAACUCUGAUUCGAGGCCACUACGUGUCUACGAACUCAUCUUGGCACGAUCUAUGUAAUGGUGUCAAACAUUCCCUAGAAUCCUUCCAAUUAAAAAGUGACCAAAUUACCCCUACCUCUAGGGACAAAAUUGAAAUUUCAAAAUUAAUUAAAUUAACGAAUAAUUUUAUUUUGGGUCAGUGUGUUACAUUUUGUUAUUCACUGAUUUUGUUUGUUUGUUUUCCUCUUUGAUAAUACAAUUCCUCACUGAUAUUGUUUGUUUGUUUUCUUCUUUAAUAAUACAAUUCCUCAUUGUUUUACUUUUUAUUUUGUUUAGCUCACUUUUUUUCUUCACGUUUUUGUUGCUGUAAAGUUCAUUCCCACGUAAUAUCUUUAAUUAAGAUGCAAUUAACCAUUAACACAAGUGGAAUUUGUGUUUUCCCGCCAUGUCAUUUUCGAUUCCUUUGUUUCUUGAUAUUUAAUUAUCUUCCAGUUUUUCCUUUUUUUUUUCCAUGUUUUUGUUGUGGUGUUUUACAAUUAUUGGUUGUCUCACUCAAAUUCACACAUUUUAUCUAAAUCUACAUGUUUAUCAAGUAUAGUAGAGUAUACUACUUAUGUGGUAGGUACAUUAUGUUAUAUUUACCUAGUAAUUAGGUGUAUGAUUUUAUAUUUACCUAGUAUUUAGGUACAUUAUCUUAUAUUUAUCUAGUAUUUAGGUACAUUAUCUUAUAUUUACCUAGUAUUUAGGUACAUUAUCUUAUAUUUAACUAAUAAUUAGGUAUACUAUAUCAUAUAUACCUAGUAGUCAAAUAAAUAUUCGUUGGGAAGAUAUCAUCAAUAAUUCUCCUACUUUCACUGUUUUAUAUGAACUUCUUUUAUGUCAUGACGGCAAUAGAAGUAUUCAAAAUUCAAAUUUUGAAAUCUAUUUAGAAGGAAAGAACAUUAAUUUGGAUUUUCAGUUAAUAUUCUUUCUUUAUUUUUCUUAAAGGGUAAAACUGACAUAUGAAAAAAUUAAUAAAAGUCAAUAGACCCAAAUAUACAGCAAAAAAAGUGUGUACUAAAUCUAACGAUGACUAGGAAUUUUAGGGCUCGUUUGGUACACAGGACUGUCUUGGCAUGGACUAUGCUUAGGGACUGGCUUGGCUUGACUUGGCUUGGUCUAAGUUGGAUAACACUUAUCUUACGUUUGGUGUAUGCUUGGAUUAGGACUAUAAUUUUUUUAUUUUUUCAAAAAUAUCUAUAUAUAUGUAUUUUAUAAUAUAUAAAAUAUAUAUGUAUAUAUACAAUUACAUACAUAUGAUAUAUACAUAGGUGUAUAUAUGUAUAUUAUAAUAUACAUGGGUAUAAUACAUAUACAUAUAUUUAUAUAUAUGUAUGUAUAUUAUAAUAUAUAAUAUAUAUAUAUGGGUAUGUUGUAAUAAUAAUAAUAUACAUGUAUAUACGUGUAUAUACGUAUAGUAUAUAUGUAUGUAUAUAUACAUAUACAUUAUAUAUAUUAUAAAAUACAUAUGUAUAUAUAAUAUAUGUAUAAUAUAUGUAUAUAUAUUAUAUAUUAUAACAUGGGGGUGGAUCCGUGGCACCAUGUUUUUGACACAAGUUUUGACACAAAUUUUAAACCCUUAGAUUAGACUACAAUAAAUGGCUGAGAUUAAAUAAACUAAUUCUUUCAACUUAAAAUAAUUAUAAUUUAAUUUAAUUAACUUUGCUAUUCAAUUUUCUCUCUCCACAUUUAUAUUUUCACUUCUUCCUAAAAGCAUCAACAUUCUAUCUCACGACAUCUUCUUCUUCUUUUUCAUGACUUUCCCUUUUUUUUACUUCUCUCUUCUUUUUGCCCACACACUAUUUUCCUCCAUAACAAGAAACAACGAACCCAACCCAUAUAGCAAAAUCAAAUACCCAGUAGGGAAGAUUGACGUAGGGAGGAGGAAGGUUGAUCUUUGUAAUUUUUUUUUUCGUUUUUUUUUUCUGGUGCUGCUAAAUUAAAACCUCUAUUUCCCCUUGCUGAGAAAAACAAAAAAAGGAUCAAGCAGUUAGUUGAUUGAGAUUCAUUUUGAUCAUCCCCAAUGAAAUUUCAAGAACCUAAGAGCAUGAUUACCCUGCCCUCCAUGGAACUCCCCCAAAUUCGUUUUGAUUCUGAGUGGAGAGAAAGUAAUUGCAUAUAACUAGCAGUAGGCAAAUGGAGAUUUUUGGCACAUCGAGGCUGUGGAGGAGAUUACGCUGGGCAUGGAGGAAGGGGGAUGUAGAAUUUGGAGACAGUCCAAUUCAUAAUUAUUAGAUUAAAAUAAUAAUAAUUAGAAUAAAUGUAUUAUUUCCAAGAUAAUAAUAAAUUAGCUGUGAGAUUUAAUCUGAGUCAUUAAUAGUGCUUAAAUCUAAGGGUUCAAAAUUUGUGUCAAAAGUUGUGUCAAAAAUAUGGUGCCACGGAUCCGCCCCCUUAUAACAUACAUAUAUAUAUGUAUAUACAUGUAUAUAAUAUAUGUGUAUAUAGGUGUAUCUAUAUAUUAUAAUAUAUAUAUGGGUAUAAUACAUAUAUAUAUAUAUAUGUAUAUUAUAAUAUAUAUACAUAUAGUAUAAAUAUAUAAUGUAUAUGUGUAUAUACGUGUGUAUAUGUAUAUUAUAAUACAUACAUGGGUAUAAUAUAUAUACACAUAUAUGUAUAUUAUAAUACAUACAUGGGUAUAAUAUAUAUACACAUAUAUGUAUAUACAGAGAGCUUCCAUUGAGGGAUCCCUCAAAUAAGCUUAUUUGAGGGACACUCCUUGUAGGCCCCACUCCGGACUGUAUUUCACUAAUCCAAACCGUCUAUUUUGUAGAUACUCAUUCAAAGAUCAUCCCUACAAAAAAUCACUUGAAUCCGAUAUCAUUUGACCACUCAAUUAAGUUAUUGAAAUUUUAGCAUUUUCUUGAAGUACCGUGUUCAUUGAUUUUGUAAGACACAAUUGGAUGUCGAAACGGUUUUCAAUUUGUCUAAUUUUUUGUAAGGAUGAUCUAUGAAUGAAGACCUAAAAAAUAGAUGUUUGGAUCAUUGGGAAAAAAAUUGUAGGGUACCCUAAAGGGCGUCCCUUAAAUAAUUUUAUUUGAGGGAUCCCUCAAUAGAAUGGGACUGUAUGUAUAUAUACUUAUAUAUAUAUAUAUUACAUAUAUUCAUGUAUGCUAUUAUUAUAAUAUUAAUAUGUAUGUGUAUAUGGGUAUAUUAUAAUAAUAAUAUACGUGUAUAUAUCUAUAUGUAUUUAUAUAUUAUAUAUGUAUGUAUGUGUUUAUAUAUAUAUAUAUACGUGUAUAUAUGUACAUUAAUAUAUAACAUAUUAUAUAUUACAUAUAUACAUGUAUACAUGUAUGCUAUUAUUAUAAUAUUAAUAUGUAUGUGUAUAUGAGUAUAUUAUAAUAAUAAUAUAUGUGUAUAUAUCUAUAUGUAUUUAUAUAUAUAUUAUAUGUAUAUAUGUGUUUAUAUAUAUAUACAUGUAUAUGUGUAUAUAUAUAUGUAUAUAUGUACAUUAUAGUAUAUGUGUAUGUAAUAAUAAUAAUAAUAAUAAUAAUAUAUGUUAUUAGUAUUACAAUAUAAUAUAUGCAUCUUGUACAUUGGUGAACAUAGGACUAGCUAAUCUUCCCUUUCUACAUGGGCUUAGUAGUCCCCUUCUAAUGAGGUGUUUUUGGUGGGCCCGGUAUUAGCAAUCUCAUCUAAGACUAGAAUUAAAUGAAACAAACAUGGUACUAAAUUUAGUCCAAACCAGUCCAAGCCAAGAUUGUGUACCAAACGACCUCUUAGACUCAGAUCAAAAAACUCCUAAAAAAAAUCAUAGGUGGAGACAAAGCUUUCUAAUAAACGUGACAACGUGUACAUUAUUACAGUCCCCAAUUUGUUCUUCACGUCCACUGCGAACCCGAAAAAUAAGUUACGCAGUUGUCAAAGUCUCUCUAUUAUCUUGACUUAUGUUGUUGAUCAAGAAUCUUGAAUGGAGAGUACGUAUAUAUGGAGCCAAAAGCUUGACUUGGAAAAGUCUUUGAUGAUGACCAUAUGGCCCCACUUGUGCAAAAGAUAUUCCACUCAGAGAUCCACACUCAUAACAUAUCCAUGUAACUCUCCCCCCCUUUACUUCUCUUUGCUAAUAACCCAAGCAUCAAACAGACACGUUGAUACAAUUCCCAUGAUGAAACCAAUUCUCAGCAAACCUCUUUACUUUUCCUUGUUUGUGCACCUGAUCAUUGUCACCGUGUUCGCAGCCAGCGAUCCGCAACCUGUCUACUCUCCGGUUGAAGAUAUCACCGUUAAUUGUGGCUAUUCCGGUGACAAGAUCGGUGAAGAUGAUGGCCGAAAUUGGAUUGGAGAUAUCAACUCAAAAUUUUCACCGUUUGAACACCAAGCAGUCGGUAACAAAUCCGAAUCCAAAGAAGCACCUCAUUCGUACACCUUCAAACCGGUGCCUUACACCACAGUGCGGCUUUCUCGCUCUGAAUUUACUUACAGUUUUAAACUCAAUAGCGGCCAGAAGUUCAUCCGCUUGUAUUUCAACCCAGUUUCCUAUGGCCCGGACUUUGACCAAUCCAAAGCCCUCUUCUCAGUCAAAGCAGGGAACUUUACCCUUCUCCACGACUUCAAUGCUUCAGUCACUGCCGAAGCUUUUAAUUUUACCAAAAUAAUAUACAGGGAGUUCUGUUUGAACAUUGAUGAGGAAAAGAGCUUGAACAUCACAUUUACUCCGAGCAGAACAAUCCCAGAUGCGUAUAGCUUUAUCAACGGAAUUGAAAUUGUGUCCAUGCCCACCAAUCUUUACUACAGUCCGCUUGAAAUGGAAAGCGCCCGUCAGAUUAAGACAGUUGGUUCCGGAACCAACUUUCGCAUCGAAAACAGCACUGCUCUGCAGAUGGCGUACCGAAUAAACAUUGGCGGCAAGUCGCUAUUGUUCAAAGAAGACACAGGCAUGUACCGCAAUUGGGAUGAUGGUGAAAUGGAGCAAUAUUACUUGGAAGAUUUAAGUGUUACGAGAAGCGUUAGACCACAAAACGUUAGUACUCAACUCAACUUUUCUGAAAUACCAGCGUACACAGCACCAGAGGAAGUGUACCGAACGGGCCGGUCGAUGGGCAGAAACGAUACCCUAAACAAGAGCUACAAUCUCACCUGGCGUUUUCCCUUAGAUUCCAAGUUUUAUUACCUGGUUAGGCUCCAUUUUUGUGAGUUUCAACAUGCAAUUAGCCAGACUUACGACAGGACGUUUGCAAUCUACAUGGACAAUCAAACUGCUGAAACAAAUGCUGACAUAAUUCAAUGGAGUCAUGGAAAUGACAGACCAGUGUACAAAGACUACGUGGUAUUUAUUCCUGAAGGCCACGAGUAUCUUUUUCUCGCACUGCGUGCAAAUCCAAAUGAUCAGACGACGACAUACAGCGAUGCACUCUUGAACGGGCUGGAAAUCUUUAAACUUGACUCACAAGGAAAUCUCGCCGGACCAAACCCAGUUCCACCUCCUAUGAUCCUACCAAAGGGGCCCUCAAAACCCAACAGCAACAACAAGAAGUCAAGGCCUCCUAUGCUUGCCAUUGUCGGUGGUGUUGUAAUUUCCAGUACACUUGCAGCGCUAUGUGCACUCGGGUUCUUGGUUUUCAGGCAAAGGCGGAAAGCCAAGGAGUCCGACCGCUCCAGCCACGGAAAGACGAACUCAACCAACACUCGCGACUCAUCUUUACCCUCCGAAUUGUGUCAUCGCUUUUCACUAGCCGAGAUCAAGGCCGGCACCCAAAACUUCAAAGAUAUUUGUAUUAUUGGGCGUGGCGGGUUUGGCAACGUGUAUAAAGGAUACAUCGAUGAUGGAGGCACCCCCGUUGCAGUCAAAAGGCUGAAACCAGAGUCGUCACAGGGGGCCCUCGAGUUCAAGACAGAGAUCGAGAUGCUCUCUCAACUCCGCCACCGUCAUUUGGUUCCACUCAUUGGGUAUUGUAUGGAUGAAGGUGAGAUGAUCUUGGUGUAUGAAUACAUGGCACAUGGGACCCUCAGAGACCAUCUUUACCACACAGAUAAUCCAACUCUUUCUUGGGAAGAAAGGCUUCAGAUUUGUAUUGGCGCAGCAAGGGGAUUACACUACCUUCAUACCGGUGCCAAGUAUACCAUCAUCCACCGUGAUGUAAAGAGCACAAACAUCUUGCUAGAUGAAAAGUGGGUGGCCAAGGUUUCGGAUUUUGGGUUGUCAAAAAUGGGCACAAUCACUAUGUCCAAGACCCACAUCAGCACGAUGGUGAAGGGUAGUUUUGGGUAUCUAGAUCCCGAAUACUACCGCCGUCAACAACUCACUGUGAAGUCUGAUGUGUACUCAUUUGGUGUAGUCUUAUGUGAGGUAUUGUGUGCGAGGCCAGCUUUGAUUCGUACGGUGGAGAAGAAGCAAAUGAGCUUGGCUGAGUGGGCCAAGAACUGUCACCGAAAUGGGGCACUUGAGCAAAUCAUUGAUCCGAGCUUGAAGGGUAAGAUUGAAACCCACUGCUUCAAUAAAUUCGCCGAGAUUGCAAUGAGCUGCCUGCAUGAUAAUGGGAUUGAAAGGCCAUCAAUGAAUGAUGUGUUGAGCGGGCUUGAGUAUGCAUUGGAGCUUCAACGGAGCGCUGAUAGGGAUAUCAUCAACAACACUAACACUGGAAGGAAGAAGGAAGAUGAGGUUGCUCUCACCAAGAACAUGCAAGGGUUUAGUUCUAGUGAGAAAACUUGUGCGACCAGUGAAUCCAUUACAGGGAUGUCUGGGACAUUGUUUUCCAAGAUCAAUGAUUCGGAAGGCAGAUGAUGAUGAGGAGCAUUAACUCACCAAAUAAUCUGCCUAAAACCGUGGCAUGGCAUGGAAUAAAUGACGAAAGCAGUUAGUGUCACAAAGAUCAGAUGAUGUUUCUCACUCAUUCCCUCAUUACUAUUCUUAAUUUUUAGGUCAUGUUUUCAUCUGCCUCUUUAAAAUUCGAGUUGUUAUUUUGAAUUUUGAGGUGAUUUGAGAGGUUUAUUAUUAUUUUUUUUAAAUAAAGAAAGAUGUUAUACUAGCAAGACUUUUUUGUUAACAAAGAAAGAUGUUUUUGGGAAUUUGAGGUGUCACUUACAAGACUUUUGUUAACAAAAGAAAGAUGGGCUUGUUCAUAUGAAAAAAUAAAUAAAAAAAGAUGGAAUUAUUUUAAUGAGAAAAAGAAAUAAAGUUUGAUGUUCAUAACUUCAUAUAAGACUGGUUUGUUUUGAUAGUUAUGAACCUCCGAAGAUAAAUUUAAGGGUCCAUGUCCAUCUCACUGUGGAUCACAUAUUAUAUAUCAACUAGUAUGAUAUAAAAAGAGUGGACAGCUUCUUUCAUUUUUGUUUUUUUUCUUGACCAAAGAAAGAAUAUAUAGUAGAACUUUAUUUUUCCUUGACAGUACGAAGUGGACUAGUCACACAAUGGAUAAGAAGGGCCAGAAGCUGUGGCCUCCGCUGGCCUAAGAAAAAUAAGGGCUAGAAGAAGAGAAAUAAUCUGUGCCAAGCAAUCGCACUAGCAUUAUUGAUUCCCUUUUACAUAUAUCUCUGUCAAUUACUGCAGCCGACAAAACCAUGUGUGUGAAAAUGAUCAUAAAACUCCAAAACCCUGCUGUCUGUUUGUGUUGAAUUAUCAACGCACCACCAGCACCACGCGAGGACUUCCAUAAGUUAGCAAGCUACUGCUAGCUUUAUAAUAAGAGUCGCGGGUGUUGUACAAACCUGCAGUGCGAGAGAAAAUAAUUAACAAGGAGGAAGGAGCUGGGAGCUGCAGGUGUGAAGAUGGGUCACCGAUCUCAUUCAGUAUCUCUAAUACUGUCGGUGACGGUGAUGGUAAUGGCCAUGUCGACGGAGCUGCCCAUCACAAGCCAUUGCAUGAUGAUGAACAAGAGCAGCACUCCCUUGAUCAACUGGUCUAAUAAUUCCCUGGUCGAAUUUAAAUUUGACCGAGACCUGCUUAAUAACAACAUUGACGGAGCACAGGGUGAAUCGGACUUGGGCUUGGCGGUCGUCAUGCACAUGGUGGAUUCAGAAGAAACUAGCAGAAGGCUCUUGACAGCCGCUCGGUUUAGUUUUGCAAUACAUAGUCUACAAGGUAGCAGCACGUUUUGUUCGAAGCAAGGCUCCCAGUAUGAUGGUUGCCUUGCUCAAAAAAAUAUCCCCACCCAUAACAACUGUCGCGGUGCUGACCCGUACCGUAAGGACUGCCCACACUAACUUGCCGCAAUACGUACGUAUUCUGCUUCUUGUUAGAGUCAUGCAAUAUUACACUAGUUUCAUUUCUGGAUGUAAUUAAUUAAGUGGGGAUGGACGACACUUGUAGACUGGUCGGCUCUGCUUGAUUUGGUUAUGGACCAUGUCUUAAUUAAUUAAAUAACUAAUAUGCUGUUGUUGCUUGCCUUAGUAGAUAAAAAAAUCUGUAUAUCAUGGCGAUAUUAAUGUGUUUUUUUAUUGUACUCGUAUAAUGUUGGAGUGUAUAUAUGGACUUCACAAUUGCGUGCAGUCUUGAAAAUGAGUUGUAAAUUGUGAUAUGGUGUAAAAACGAACAAAAGAAAUAAAAACAGAGAGUGGUGAGUAUGAUGAAAAUCUAAUAAAAGUUACUUAUUACGAUUAGACCAUGGAAGUCUUCCACAAGAGCAUAUCCAUGCAGCAUCAUUGAAUUUAUAUUGUCAGCCAUUGAAUUUACUUUAACAAAAUCAGACGGCUAAGAUUAAAAGAGGAAAGAAAAGGAUCUGAUAUUUUUAUUUAUUAUAGGAUCAGUAUACCCAAAAGCAAGUCUUUGAUGCUUGAUGAAAAAACAAACCAGAUAUUUAGUCAUAUAUUUAUUCUUAGCACUAAAAUUAUAAAUAAAUUCCACAUCAUUUAAUCUUUAUAAAUAAGUCCGAAAAAACCCCAAACAAUGACUGCUUGCCUUAUUGAAUUUAAUUUUGAUUAUUAAAUUAUUUUGAUACCCUUUUGAGUGUUUUGGGCUUUGUUAUGAGGUUUUUGGGUUGGGUUUGUUUUAAGAAAUUAAUGACAAUUUUGUAAUUUAAAAAAAGUUAAAAGUCUUUUUAUUAUGUUGUAAAUGGGCUUUGAGUAUGUUUUUAAAGUCCAUUUCAUAUUUAAAAAAAUUUAUAAUUUGAACUCCUAUAUUCCAUAUAAUAAUGAAUCUUCCAAAAAGAAAAUGGAGACUUUGGAAAAAUCCAAAGGAGAGAGAAAUUUUUUAAAAGAAGCUAAAAUAGACAAAAUUACCCUUACUUAUUUUUUGAUUUCUUAAGGAAUCCUUUACAUUUGCAUUUCUUUGAUUUGAAAAUUGAGAUGUUUUUUUGUUUUUGUUUUUAAAAACUUUGGUUUUUUUCAAAAAUGAAAGGUUUUUUUGUGAUUAAAGCUUAAAUUUACUAAAAGGAAAAAUGCAAGUCUUUCAUCCAUAUCCCACUCCAAGUUGUGCAUACAAUCUAAAAUGUAACGACAACUAGAAGACCAGCUCAGCUGAUUAAAAUCAUUGGACGUUUUGGUCAAGUUGUGCUUUUCAGAAAAGAAAAGAAAACCAACUUGCUUUUACAUUUCCACGCAAUUUCUCACAAAAAUUAUGCAUCUCUUUGCCCUUUUUUCGGGUAACUGGAAAAUAUCAGGCAUCUCAAUGAUAAAAGGAGACCGACAACCAUACGCCUACCUACCAGACACGUCAACACAUGACGAAGAAAUGGUAGCACUGAAACAAUAGAAAGCUUAUGCCUGAAUUAUUUUAUGUUGACGAACAUAUAUUUUUUUUUAAAAUAUUUUUUUUAAAGCAAAAGAAAGCUUAAAGUAUACACCAAAAAGAAGAAAGCUGAAAGCUUUUUAACUUUCCUCCACCAAGAAGAUGGAAAAGAAGAAACUCUGAACUUUCAGAGAACACCAUUCCGUAAGCUUAUUCUCCAUAUGAAUACAACGACACUUGAUAGAAGAAGACUUUCCAAAUUCUCAUUUGAAAAUUAAACAGGGCAAUCUCUCUGUUAUGUUUCAGCAGCUUCCCUGUUUCUCAUUUGAUCAUCAUCCUUCUCCUCUUAAUCAACACCUUAAUUAUCUUCUGAUCUUUCUCUUCUAUUAGAUAUCAUCAAGAACCCAAUUAGCAGCAAACACCUUUCCAAAUCAAUAACCAUGAAGAAACUCCUUCUCCCUCCUCUGCCUCUCUACCUCCUUCCCCUGUUUCUGCAAAUCGCCACCCUACUCUCUGCACCUAUCUACACUCCAGUCGAAGACAUCACCAUCAACUGUGGCUCUUAUGGAACCUCACCCAACAUAUAUGACAACCGGAAUUGGACUGGAGAUAUCAACUCAAAAUUCUCUCCCUUUGAAUUGCACCAAGAUAACACCAACACCUCAUCCCAAGUCAGAGAAGCACCUCCCUCCUCUGUUAGCCAAGUACCCUACACCACAGCUCGGCUUUCUCUUUCCGAAUUUAGUUACAAAGUUCCCCUCUCCACCGGGCAGAAAUUUAUUCGUUUACACUUCCACCCAGUUUCAUAUGACCCCGGCUUCGACCGAUCCAAAACCCUCUUCUCUGUCCAAGCAGGUGGCUUUACCCUUCUCCAUGAUUUCAAUGCUUCUGUAACUGCUGAUGCUAGUGAGACUGAGACGCUAAUAAGAGAGUUCUGUUUGAAUAUUGAUGAAGGACAGAGCUUGACCAUCACGUUCACUCCGAGCAGAGCAAUCCCAGAUGCUUAUGCCUUUGUCAAUGGGAUUGAGAUUGUGUCCAUGCCCACCAAUCUUUACUACACUGCAUCCGAAAGCCAUGGAGUUGAUUAUGUAGGCAACGAAGUCAAUUAUCGCAUCGAAAACAUCACGGCGAUGGAGAUGGUGUACCGAAUAAACGUCGGUGGAAGUGCACUCUCUUUCGACCAAGACACUGGGAUGUACCGCAAUUGGGACAGUGUAGUAGACGAGCAAAAGUACUUGGAUGAUUUGAGUUCCAGGUGGACUGUUCUUCCACAAAACGUUAGCCUUCAACUCAACUUUGUGAAAAUACCAGAGUACUCUGCUCCACAAGUAGUUUACCAAACGGGCCGGUCCAUGGGCAGCAACCACACCCGAAACAAGAGCUACAAACUGACCUGGGAAUUUCCCGUAGAUCCCAUGUUUCUUUACCUGCUAAGGCUACAUUUCUGUGAGUUUGAGCCUGAAAUUAUGGACACUGGGGACCGAUCGUUUCUAAUCUAUGUGGACAACCAACUUGCUGAGCCACAAGCCGACAUAAUCAUGUGGAGUGGUGGAAAUGGGAGACCAAUCUACAGGGACUACGUCGUGUUCAUGCCUGCAGGCGCUGAUCAGAAGAAAGUUAAGCUCUUUCUUGCACUGCAAGCAAACCCAAGAGAUUGGAUGACUAAAUACAAUGAUGUACUCUUGAACGGCCUUGAACUCUUCAAACUAAGUGAUACAAAUGGUAAUCUCGCCGGACCAAACCCCGACCCACCUCCACCAAAGCCGGUGCAGCUGAAAACCCCCUCAAAACAGUCGAAGAAGAAGUCAACUCCUAUGCUUGCCACCGUUGCUGGUGCAGUUUCCGCCAUACUCGUAUUAUUCUGUGUCCUCGGAUUCUUGGUUUUCAGGCGAAGAAGAAGAUCCAAGGAUACUUUUGAUGUACUGUCCGGUUUGUGUCGUGAGUUUUCAUUGUCCGAGAUCAAAGCCGCCCCCAAAAACUUCAACCAGGAUUUCAUUAUCGGUGUUGGUGGGUUUGGCCACGCGUACAAAGGGAGCAUCGAUCAGGGCACAAACCCAAGUCGCAACAUAGCGGGGCAGGAGAUUCGAAUUUGAGCGAUAAGAUGAAGGGUGAAGAUGACGUGUGGCUAAAGAGUGAGAGUGAUGCAGGGUUUAUUAGUUGUAGCUGGGAAGAUUCGUCGGAGAUGAAGGAGAGCAGAGUGACCAAACCAAGUAGUCAGCACAAUUCUUCUACUAACGAAUCCAUGAAAGGAAUGUCUGGGACUGUGUUCUCUGAGAUCAACGAUCCCAGUGGACGAUGAUGAUUAUCUGUGCAAAUUAAUAUUCUUAAUCAUAUAUGGUAUAGGGCUUGCGUGGAGUUGUAUAUCCAUAUGAUGCAAUUGUAAAUAUAUUUGUAAUUUUCUCCUUGUUUUUAAUAUUCUGCAAAAUUAAAACUUCCAUAUAGUCUUGCAAUUUCUUAUUGCAUACCAAAUUGGGAAUGUUGAUUAAAGAUUCCAACACUAUUUGUAAUUUUGUUACUGUCAAAAAUUACUUGCUCUUUUCUUUUCUUUUUUCGCCUAAACAAAAAUUUAUUCCUCACUAAUCAUGCUUAAUAGAUUCCUCUUCCUUGAAAUUGUUAGAAAGUAUAUAGAUAGUUGAACUUUCUUAGGGUAGUCAGAUUGUCAAUUUUGGAUUGAAAAAUGUUUGAUGAUCAUACGUCCCUACCCUACUUGUACAAAAAAAAUCCAAUCAGAGAUCCACACACCCACACAUAACAUAUCCAUAACUCUCCCUCCCUUUACUUAUCUUUGCUAAACCCCACACACACACACACACACACAUAUAUAUAAUAACCCGAGCAUCAAACAAACACCUACAACUACCAUGGUGAAGCAAAAGGUUGAAGGAUGUAGCAUAUCUACAUGGUCCCAUAUCAUGUGGUCUGAUAAGGUGGUACAAAAAAGAUGGUCUCCUCCAUAGCUCAACUGAAUCAAGCAUCAUCUUUAAAAAAGAAAACAAUAAUAUUGGCAGCCGUUGAAUUUACUUUAACAGAGUCAGACGGCCAAGAUUAAAAGAGGAAAGAAAAGCAUAUGUGAUAUAUCUUUUUCUAUUAUAGGAUCAGCAUAACCAAAAGCAAGUCUUUGAUGUUUUGUUUUUUUGGUAACGCAAGUCUUUGAUGUUGACCAAACAGAGAAAAGCAAGUCUUUGAUCCAUAUCCUGCUUACGCUCAAGAAAUUCAAUACAAGCAUGCAAACAAUAAUGCAGCGACAACUAGAAGACUAGCUUAUUAAAAAUAAUAGGAUGCUUUUGUCCCCUUGUGGAAGUGUAGGUUUUUAAAACAAUUUUAGGCAAAUAAGCUUCCAUUCGAAAGAAAUCAGAGUGAUUGUGCUUUUUAUUUGUGCUUUUCAGAAAAGAAAACAGAAACAACUUUCUUUUACAUUUCCACGCAAUUUCUUAGAAAAAUAUACAUCUCAAUGAUAAAAGGAGACCUCCACUAACACAUUUGAAACGACAAUCAUAGGCCUACCUACCAGACCCAUCAACACAUGACAAAGAUAGGGUAGCACUGAAACAAUAGAAAGCUUAUGUCUGAAUUAUUCUCUCUUGACGAACCUAAUUUCUUUAAAAAUAAAAAAUAAAAAAGCAAAGAAAAAGUUUACACCAAAAAGAUGGAAAAGAAGCAGCUCCGAACUUUCAGAGAACACCACUUGUGUAGCUUAUUCUCCAUGUGAAUACACACUUUCUUGAUCAGAAGUUUCAAAUUCACAUUUGAAAAUUAAACGGGGCAAUCUCUCUGUUAUGUUUCAGCAGCUUCCUCGUUUCUCAGUUGAUCAUCGUCAUCCUCCUCUUAAUCAACACCUUAAUUACCCUCUAAUCUUCCUCUUCUCUUAGAUAUCAUCAAGAACCCACUUAGCAGCAAACACCUUUCCAAAACAAUAACCAUGAAGAAACUCCUUCUCCCUCCUCUGCCUCUUUACUUCCUUCCCCUGUUUCUUCAAAUUGCCACCCUACUCUCUGCACCUAUCUACACUCCGGUGGAAGACAUCACCAUCAACUGCGGCUCUUCCGGAACAUCAUUAAACAUGGAUGACAACCGGAAUUGGACUGGAGAUAUCAACUCAAAACUCUCCCCCUCUGAGUUUAACCAAGCUAACACCAACACCUCCUCCCAAGUCAGAGAAGCACCCCCCUCCUCCUCUGUUAACCAAAUCCAAGUGCCUUACACCACCGCUCGUCUUUCUCGCUCCGAAUUUACUUACAAAGUUCCCCUCUCCACCGGGCAGAAGUUUAUUCGCUUCUACUUCCGCCCAGUUUCAUAUGGCCCCGACUUUGACAGGUCCAAAGCCCUCUUCUCUGUCCAAGCAGGUGGCUUUACCCUUCUCCAUGAUUUCAAUGCUUCUGUAACUGCUGAUGCUGGUGAGACUGAGAAGCUAAUAAGAGAGUUCUGUUUGAACAUUGAUGAAGAACAGAGCUUGGCCAUCAUGUUCACUCCGAGCAGAGCAAUCCCAGAUGCUUAUGCCUUUAUCAAUGGGAUUGAGAUUGUGUCCAUGCCUACCAAUCUUUACUACACUUCUCCUGAAAACCCAGAUGGUGCCCAUUUUGUAGGCAACAAUAUCAAGUAUCCUAUUGAAAACAGCACGGCGAUGGAGACGGUGUACCGAAUAAACGUCGGCGGAAGCGGACUCUCAUUCGACCAAGACACUGGGAUGUACCGCAAUUGGGAGAAUGUGGUAUACGAGCAAAAGUACUUGGAUGAUUUGAGUUCCAGGUGGACUGUUCUUCCACAAAACGUUAGCCUUCAACUCAACUUUGUGAAAAUACCAAAGUACUCUGCUCCAGAAACAGUUUACCAAACUGGCCGGUCCAUGGGCAAGAACCACACCCAAAACAAGAGCUACAACCUCACCUGGGAAUUUCCCGUAGAUCCCAAGUUUCUUUACCUGCUAAGGCUACAUUUCUGUGAGUUUGAGCCUGAAAUUAUGGACACUGGGGACCGAUCGUUUCUAAUCUAUGUGGACAACCAACUUGCUGAGCCACAAGCUGACAUAAUCAUGUGGAGUGGUGGAAAUGGGAGACCAAUCUACAGGGACUACGUUGUGUUCAUGCCGGCAGGCCCUGAUCAUAAGAAAGUUAAGCUCUUUCUUGCACUGCAAGCAAACCCAAUAAAUUGGAUGACUAAAUACAAUGAUGUACUCUUGAACGGCCUUGAACUCUUCAAACUCAACGAUACAAAUGGAAAUCUCGCAGGACCAAAUCCCGACCCACCUCCACCAAAGGAGAUGCAGCCGAAAACCCCCUCAAAACAGUCGAAGAAGAAGUCAACUCCUAUGAUUCCCAUCGUUGCUGGUGCAGUUUCCGCCAUACUUGUAUUACUCUCUGUCCUUGGAUUCUUGGUUUUCAGUCGAAGAAGAAGAGACAAGGAUACCGAUGAUGACCCAUUUGUACCUUCCGGUUUGUGUCGUGAGUUUUCAUUGUCUGAGAUCAAAGCCGCCACCAGAAACUUCAACGAGGGUUCUAUUAUCGGUGUUGGUGGGUUCGGCCAUGUGUACAAAGGGAGCAUCGAUCAGGGCACCGUUGUUGCAAUCAAACGGCUUAAACCCGAGUCGCAACAAGGGGUCCCAGAGUUUAGGGCGGAGAUCGAUAUGCUCUCCCAACUCCGCCACCAACAUUUGGUGUCUCUCAUCGGGUACUGUAAAGAUAGAAGGGAAAUGAUCUUGGUGUAUGAGUACAUGGAAAAUAAGACUCUUUAUGAUCAUCUAAUGAAGCCAAAAUCCGAUCCUAAUGCACAACCACUUCCUUGGGGAAAACGGCUCCAGAUUUGUAUUGGCGCAGCGCGUGGUUUGCACUACCUUCACACUGGUGGUACGGAAGGCACCAUCAUUCACCGUGAUGUAAAAAGCACAAACAUUUUAUUGGACGAGAAAUGGGUGGCCAAAGUUUCGGAUUUCGGGUUGUCGAAAAUGAGCUCGAUGACCAUGUCCAAAACCCACAUUACCACGGCAGUGAAGGGUAGUUAUGGGUAUUUGGACCCAGAAUACAUGCUCCGAAAUCAAUUGACCGAGAAGUCGGAUGUGUACUCAUUCGGCGUCGUGUUGUGUGAGGUGCUGUGUGCAAGGCCAGCCUUGAUGCGUACAGUGGAGAAGAAGGAAAUGAGUUUGGCUAUGUGGUUCAAGGCCUGCCAUCAGAAUGGGGAACUUGAUCAAAUCAUCGAUCCAAGCUUGAAGGGUAAAAUUGAAGACGAGUGCUUCAAAGUGUUCGUUGAGAUUGCGCUGAGUUGUAUGCAUGAGAAUGGGAAACAACGUCCGUCGAUGAACAACGUGGUGGAGGGGCUUGUGCAAGCAUUAAAACUUCAGCAGAACGGAGAUAAGAUGGACGAGGAUGACGAAACCAAGGGUGAAACAAAGGAGACUGCAAUUAUGAAUGAGAGCGAUGGAGGUUUUAGUUCCAGCUGGACAGAGUCAUCUGAUUCGAAGAACAGUAGUAGGGUCACCAACACCAGUAGUGAUCAAAGUUGUUCGACCACCAACAAUUCCAUUAAAGGAAUGUCCGGGACAGUUUUUUCUGAGAUCAAAGAUCCCAGUGGAAGAUGAUGCGUGACGAUCAUGAGCAACACUUGUAAUAAAAUUAAAGAGAAGAAUAUAUCUUGCUAAAACUCAGAAGCUUCAUUUGGAUUGUGUGGUAAGUUUUAAUAUUAUUGUAAGCUUGUAAUUCUAACUCAAUUUGUGAUUGUUAUCUGUUAAAAUUCCAAGGCAUGUACAAGAUGCAUGAAUUGUUUAUUCCUAUGAGGAUGACCAAAUGUAUUGGAUUUUUAUGCAUGCCAUUGCCAACUGUGGAAGCUCCGAUACGCUAUUCGCUGUGCAAAAGUUGGGGAAUCAAAUGGUCUUUUAAUACUCUUAAUUAAAGUGAGAUAGUGGGAGACCUGAUGAACUGAUAAUUGAACUUUUUUAUGUUUCGUAGUAUAUGGGGCCACACCCAAAAUCAUCACAUCAUAAAAGUCGAAACCAAUUAGGUUUAGUUUUCUUAUAUUAUGACUUCUAAAAACAAAUGAAUAAAACAUUUGUAGUUUAAACAAUUUUAGUUCAAAAAAUAAUAAUUGAAGACAAAACAAUUAGGGUGGAGUUUUAAGUAUAAUACAAUUAUGAUGAGAAAAAACUGAUUUAAUACCUUUAAAAUAAAUAAAAUAUAAAAUAAAAUUCCAAGCAACAACCACCUUCCUCCUUAAAUAGCCUCUAUACUGCCUGCCAAUUGUCACUGCCCUCAUUAAACGGUUCACGUGCUUUAGCUUCUUCUUGAUAAUUGAUCGAGGGCAAGUGCUUUAGCUUCUUAUUGGUCACUUGGCUUAAUCUUCCCAUUCUACUCGUCAUUGUCCUACUAAUGGUCGCAUCAUCCCAUAAAGGAGACAUUGUCGUACUAAUGGUCACUCUAAAUUUCUGAGUUUGAAACCCAAUUGUUUGUUGGGGCUUUAUAUUUAUGUUCGUUUGAAACCAAUUCCCAACCACGGUUUAACCCGCAUGGCCCAAACCCAAUCCAUUUUAUUCCAACGUGAGACAAACAAACACUCAGAGAAAUUUCAACACAAAAAUUACAAAAUUAAAUUUGAAUGUAGUAUGACUAGCAUUUCUGUUAAAUGAAUAGUGGUGCCUCUUUGUGGUUUUUGAUCAUGCUAAUUGGAGUGAGGGCUGCAGGCUCAUACUGAAGUCCUCCAAAUUAACAGCUGUGUCCUUUUCAGCAGCUGAAAAAUGAAAUGAAAUUUUGUGUUGCUUUGCUAUUAGAGCCACAAUUGUGUAUGGUCUUAUUAGAGAUGCCUUGAUGGUAAUGUAUAGUUUAUUUUUGAGAAAAUUUGGUAUCGAUCCAAAUUCUCAAUUAAGAGUUUAGUUUAAUUCUUGAAUUUUGUGUUUUUUAUCUAAGUCCUCUCACAUUUAUGUCGCAUAGGAUUACAUUCCUUUUUUAAUUUUAUGAUGUAAUUAUAUUUUUUUGUUUAAAAUUAUUUUUUUUGUUCCAAUUAUGCCCCCUUAUGAUUUAAAUCGAGUAAGAUUGAUUUGUAUCUUAAUAAUUAGCAAUUUACAAUGUGUGCAAUUGAAUAUAAACGGCAAAUACAGCAGACGUAUCCCAAGAAUCAUGCUCUUUUCAAUCCAAUCUUUGCUGAUUUAUUGCUUUUUCAAUGCAGAGUUGAAAUUAUUUCAAAUUAGGGUUCAAUAUUAUAGAUAUUACCUGAGCCCGAUGGUGAGAUGCAAUAAAGCGUUUGACAUAAUUUCAAAAUUUGUCGUCAGUUUGCAGCACAUCCCUUCCGGGUAUUUUUAUUAUUUAGGUUUUUGAUACUUUUUGCUUACUGGUUCCUUAUGCUAAUAUGUCCAAUGUUCUUUUGAGAAUAGUUUGUGAUUAUGUUUUGCAGGUUGCGUGGUAGUACCUGGACUGUAGAUUGUUUGGUAUUUGAGUGGUAGUACUUGUAAUUUGGGUAUCUGUAUAUGUACCUUGGUGCGGUGGGUACAGGGUGCGAUGUAUACCUGAUAUAUAGGUUAGGUGUUGGGGAAGGAUACAUGUGGUGAAGGUAGUCGCCAUUUUACUUCUACGGGUCAAACUAUUUUGUGGCACUCUUAACAUUGAAAGAGUAAUUUAAAGAAGAAUAAAUUUCCGUACACUCCCCUGGAUUAGGACCACAAUCGAACUUAUCCAUCUGGAUUAAAAAAUCAAUCAAUUUAACAUCGGAAUUAAUUAAAAUGGCCAAUUUAACCUUCUUGUUAAAUUUUGUGAAUUUCAACCAAAUUUUCUAUUAACUCUAAGAGUAAAUUUGUAAUUUCAAGUAAAAUAAAUAAUCAAUCAAUCAAACAAAAAGAAAAAUAGAAUAACAGUGGCGGCACAUAGGAAAAGCUUCUUCACUAAUCAACAAUGCCGGACGACGAUUACAACGAAAUGGAUAUGGGGUUCUAAACCCUGAUAUGCAUUUGAUACUCAUAACUCAACAAGUAACUUAUUGAGAACUUGUUGAUGCAGAUAUAGGAACCAGAUUCGCCACGAGAUCAAAAUCCUCCACAACAUCGGCAACCCCAACGUCGUCAAUUGCCACGGCAUUUUCGACCACAACGGUGAGAUCGAGGUGUUGUUCAAGUUCAUGGACGGCAGCUCGUUGGAAUGCCAAAGGAGAGAAAGAGAAGCGUGGAGAGGGGAAGAGAUAGGGAGAGAGAAAGUCACGUUUUUUUUCUUCGUCAUUUUUAUUUUAUUUUAUAACUAUUUUAGCUUUUUAUAAUAAUAAUAAUAAAAUCAAAUAAUAAGUCACGUGUCAUCGAUAUUAUUUUUUGGACGGAAAAAUAUAUGAAAUUUUAAAAAAUUAACUGCAAGAGUUAAAUUGACAAUUUCAAUUAAUUCGGAUAUUAGAUUUGCUGACUUUUUAUUUAAGGGAGUUAAUUUCUACAAAGGUCACAGUUCAUGGGUAAAAUGGCUGAAAAUCCUUUAAAGAACUCUUAAAUCCUCAUCUUUGCAUGCUUUGUUUUGUGACAUAAAAUAUAUAUAUACAAAGGCUACGGCCCGAGUAGUAAUUGAGUCCAUGAUCAAUGUUGAGCCCAAGAAAACCCUAUGAUAAUUAGAAGACCCCUUAAAUAGGUAGGUUAGAAUAACCCAACAUAUUAUAUAUUGUUGUAAAUAAUAUUGGUGAAGCCCACAUAAAGAGAAAUGAUGGAAGAAAAAUGAUGGUGUUGAGUAUGGAAGUCAAAAGAAGGAAUGAUGGUGUUAGAAGUGGGAUAAUUAGUCAAAAGAUGAAAUUAUAAUGUUGGGGAGAAAUCAUUAUGUCUCCAUUAGAAGCCUUUUACUUUGCCUAUAAAUAGGCUUGCUCAUUCACUUGUAAGACACACCAAAAUGAAGAGAAGAAUGAGUGAGGAAAGAUAGAAGAGGAAGAGAAGGAAGAAUGAGGGUGAGUGAGUUGAGAAGAAAGAGAGCAAGAGAGAAAUUCUCCAAGAGAGAAAAUUGAGUGAGCCAUACAUAUUGUAAACACAAAGUUGUAGCCCUAUUAUUUUACAUAGUGGAAAAGUUACUGCUGCUGCUCUCCGGGGAUGUAGGCAUAGCCGAACCUCGUUAAAUACUGUGUCUCAUCUACUUUACGUGCAGCUCAAUAUUCGCAUAUAUACCAGUUCAUUUUAUAACACGUUAUCAGCACGAGAAGCUCUCAGGUAUAAUUUUUGUGCUGCACUAUUAUUUAUACUACUAACCAUUGUAUAUAUAUAUAUGAAAAGUUGAUGGUAAUAUAAUAUGCUAUAUCUAUUCACUUUUCUAUUACUAACCACUAACAAAAAUGGACCAUUGGUAAUACCAAACAUAUUAUCAGUAGGAGACCGUUACUAAUACUAACAUUUUUCUUAUUUUAUUCGGUGGUGGUUUUUAACCCCAUAUUUAUUUUAUUUACUGUAUGGUGUAGGUUUAUUACCCAUACAACAGUAUUUAUUGCAAAUUGUGGUACGCCACAUAUUUCUUUGGCAUAAGAGAAUGAUGAAUUGAGGCUCCCCUCACAUUUUGUUAUAUCUGGGCCGGAAGCUCAUGAACCCAAAUAUAUAAGAUAUUAGCGUGGCUUUUACUCAAUUCAUAUUUCAUGUCCAUUUGAAAAGGGUGAAUAAAUUCUGAGUUUUGCGUUUAGCCCAGGCCAAAAGUUCCAUACGUUGAAAUAUGAAAUUUGGGAGAGUCGAUGUGGUUAUUUGAACCUAUAAGGCACAAGGUUCCAAACCGUCAUUUUGAAAAGACGUAAAAACUACAGGUGCAAGUUUAAGAAUGUGCGCAAUUAUUAUAACAGGAACAUACAACAGAUAGAUUUUUUCCUGCAAUGAAGGUGCAGGCCCUGUAAAAUCUAUAAAAAUACAUUAUGUUCCGGAAGCCUCUGAAGGAAGAGGACGACGCCUCUUAAGCUUAGCCAUGAGCCUCUCAUGGUCUCCCAAAAUUCUUUCAUUGGAGACCUGCAGCAUGUCUAGCCUUCUCAGUGUAUCAACAGAGUACGAACUCACCAGUUUCAACAAGGCAUUAUUCUCUCCUUUAAGUUUCUCAACCUCCUGUUGAGACUCAUGAAGCAUUCUUUGGAGAGACGAAUUUUCAGUUGUUAAAUUCUCAACCUCGUUUGCUCUGGCACGCAAACGAUCAGCCAUGUUAGAAACAGAAGCAGCACUCUGAAUGCUAAAAGCCAUUGAGUCAUCAAUAGCCUCUUCCUCUGAUCUCCCUGUCAACAACAUUUCAUCCAUUGGAGUAAUGAAAUUCCUAGCUACUAUGACAGCAGUAGCAUCAUUCAUCAUCACAGAAUCAUUAACUGUGAGAUGACGAUUUUUGGAUACAAAAGAUGGACGCCAAACUUGGGCGUCACUGGUUGUUGUGGGAGUAUCAUUUAAAUUGAAAUAAUUUGGGCAGGAAGAAGAGGAAGCCAUUUUAAGAAGGUUUCGAAGAAAGUCUUAAGAAAACUAAAGUUUCAGAAAAUGAAGGAAGUUGAGUUGAAACGCAGUUGCUCCAAUCAAGUUUUGCAAAGGCAAUAUCUAUAGGAGGAAAUAUGGCUACAGUUUCCAGGAUCCCAAUAUUAUCUCAGAUCCUCAUACUAUCUUUUUCUUUCCCAGAUUCCAAAACUUCACGCGGCCUCCAUUAAUGUUUGUCGGCACUUUCGGCGUUUUCAAAGUAUUAUUUUCGUCAAAAGCCGAUCUUGCUUUGCGGAUUUCACGGAGCUACUUUUUCAAAAGUACCCCGAGAAUCUCGCAAUUUUCCUAUGGUUAAUUUGAAAUUCACCGGUUCUACCUAUUCCUCUUAUUUGUGUAUAAAUGUGUUACUAACGAAAUUUUCUUUGCAGAAGACAUCCAGUUUUCUCAAUACCUAGUGAUGCGAUAUCUACUUAUUUUUCUUAUCAGUAAGCACUCAAUAAGCCCGAGAAGCAAGACUAUCUCUGAUCAUCCAUUCAGGAAGCAAGACUAUCCCUGAUCACGUUUCCGCUACAUCAGGAAACUGUGAAGGCGAUCUUAUGCUCUAAUCUCCGGAAGUCCUUCUAGACUAGGAGAUAUGAGAGCUUAUUGUCUGCUCCCACCAGCUUCCUUCCCUGAUUGCUUACCUUACCUUGCAAUUAAUAUCACAAUCUUUGUAUCUUUUCUUUCUUUUUAUAACUCUCUGUUCAUAAGGGUUUUUAUUUCUUUAGAACGAACAUCCGAAGAAAGAAGCCAUACAGUGAUCCUAACUCUGAAGGUUAUUUAUUUAUUUUUGACAGAGGGAAGAAUUGUGACUUUUUGCUCUUGCAGGAUAUAACUAGAUCAUCAAGCGUUACUGGGCCGAUACGAGCUUGAAUGAUAAUUGAGAAAAAUUUCUCCCACCUAAGGAUGUAAGCAAUACUUGUGUUAUUUUAUGCUUAUAUACUUAUUUGAUAUUUUAUCUUGAAAGGUAACCAAAUGGGAAGAUAAGUCCGUUCCAAAAGAAUGGCUUGUAUGUAUCCAUGAAUUAUUAAUGCAAAUUUUACAGAUUGCAAGUUGGAUACAUUGAUAAUACACUGCACAAAUUAAAGUCCCAUAAGAACAGAAUAUGGGUAUGGCAGUGAUCAAUAUGAUGCACGCCUGUUGCGUAGCAAAUGAUGNNNNNNNNNNNNNNNNNNNNNNNNNNNNNNNNNNNNNNNNNNNNNNNNNNNNNNNNNNNNNNNNNNNNNNNNNNNNNNNNNNNNNNNNNNNNNNNNNNNNUAUGGUUAAGUCCCAUAAUAUGGGUAAGUCCAGAAUGUCCAGAAUUAAUUGACAUGUAUGUAUUAAUCUGUGGCAUGCCUUCAGCAUGACAGAUAUAUGGGUUCUAAAUGUUCCAACUCCCUAAAUGGAGAUUAUCCACGCCCUACUGCUAAAUAACGCUCCAAUAGAGGUUAUAAUCCACAUUCUCACAUAAUAAAAGCCCCAUGAAGUGGCUUGGGUACCCAAAAGCAAAGAAAUGCUUAUAAUUGAUGCAUGCGCAUGCACAUGAGAAUGGUGGAAUCAUGAAUUGAUGAAUGACAAUUUUUGAUCAUGAAUUGAUGAAUGACAAUUUUUGGUUUUGGAGUAGCUACUCAAAUCAUCAAUGGGCUGUGUUGAUUGGAACCACGUUCAAUUAUUAAAUGUCGACAAUAUCAUUGGCCAAAAUGGAACGAGGUAAUUCCAUUAUAGAUGAGAAUGAACGUGAAAGAACAAACCCAUAGUACGAACCCCAAAAGAUGUUAAUACUGAAAUUUAUACUUGGGUGUUCGGAAUAAAAGGGAAUAUACCUACUUUGUAUGACACACUGUUUCUGGCAGAAACAAGGAAUGUUGGGUUCUCUCCAUAUUUACAGAUUCAAUUGUGCCCUCCUUAUUACACAAUUACGGAGACCAACAUAUUAUCUUUAAGGGUUAUUAAAUGCAUGGAGCAUAUCGCCAGAAGCGAUUUCCUAAAGAUGUAUAAAUAGCUGGGUUAAAGCUAUAUAAUGUGUCAUAAAGUUUAAUCCCUUUUAAACAAAAUCCGUUGAGAGGAUUGACAUUGCAUAAAGCAAGUCCCUAAAGGACAUAUGCUUGAAGCACAAAAUUUGUACUCAAUAUUAAUAUGCAUAAAUUACCUCAGUGAGUACAUUGAUUAUAAUGUGAUUGCAACACAUUAAAACUUCUGAAUAGUUCAAGAAAUAUUUGUCUCGACUUAAGGAUCGAGCAUUAUGCCAACGAGAUUCUUGCUUAUACUAAGAAAGUAUUGAAGCAUUUUUAUGAGGAUUAUCCGUUGGACACUUUAAUGAUUUUCCGGAAGUAUAUUGGACCGGACAUCAUAUUUUCUAGAUAGGGCUCAACUCCAUCACCAUCAUUUUGGGAUGAUGUGAGGUAUAUUUGAUGCUAUCUCCGCAUAACACCAUGUACGGGCAUAUUCUUUCAAGUGAACUUACAAAUAGCCCAAGUUUUGUUAGAAACGCGGACUCUAAAAAUUUCUAUGAUUUACAUAGAGAUAGCUCACUGGAAAUAUAUUUACUUACUCAACUACGAGAAUUAUUAAUGGCUAUAUCCUCCACUCACUCCGAUAGAUUCUCACUCCAAAAGAUAGUCAUGAAGACAUCUGGGGGAGAUAUUCAUCAGGGGGAGCAUCCAGAACUAUGCUGCACUGAUUACUGUAAUCUUCUUCAUUCCAUCAGUUUUCUACCUCAUUGGGUUUUCUCCAAGCAAAUCUUUAAUGAUGCAACCGACAUGUCAUUUGUGGUCUCCAAGGGGGAGUGUUGUAAAUAAUAUUGGUGAAGCCCACAUAAAGAGAAAUGAUGGAAGAAAAAUGAUGGUGUUGAGUAUGGAAGUCAAAAGAAGGAAUGAUGGUGUUAGAAGUGGGAUAAUUAGUCAAAAGAUGAAAUUAUAAUGUUGGGGAGAAAUCAUUAUGUCUCCAUUAGAAGCCUUUUACUUUGCCUAUAAAUAGGCUUGCUCAUUCACUUGUAAGACACACCAAAAUGAAGAGAAGAAUGAGUGAGGAAAGAUAGAAGAGGAAGAGAAGGAAGAAUGAGGGUGAGUGAGUUGAGAAGAAAGAGAGCAAGAGAGAAAUUCUCCAAGAGAGAAAAUUGAGUGAGCCAUACAUAUUGUAAACAUAAAUUUGUAGCCCUAUUAUUUUACAUAGUGGAAAAGUUACUGCUGCUGCUCUCCGGGGAUGUAGGCAUAGCCGAACCUCGUUAAAUACUGUGUCUCAUCUACUUUACGUGCAGCUCAAUAUUCGCAUAUAUACCAGUUCAUUUUAUAACAUAUAUAUAUAUAGGGGGAGGAUUUGUGGCACUAUAUUUUUGACACAAUUUUUGGGCCAUUAGAUUACUCCACUUUUAAUGGUUGAGAUUAAAUCUGACAUGAUAAAUAGUUUUAAUGUUUUAAAUAAACAAUCAUUAAUUUUAUUAUCUCUCUCAUAAAAAUAAAAUAAAAUAAUCUUCUCUCUCCUCCCUUUUUUCUUGAAAACGUAAUCUCUUUUCUUGGUAGUAUCCUUUUUUACUUGGUAUAUACCCCUCUCUCUCUCUCUCCCUAUGAAUUCUCUACUCCAUUUUUAUUCCAUUUUCAUUUUUCUUAAAACUAAUACGUUUUGUUUUGUUAUUUAUGAUUAUAUUGAAAUCUUCACUAUUCGGUUUGUUUUCUUAAAGAACUUCAGGUUUUACAAACGGAGAAAAUAAAAUAUUUUUAGAGAUACGGUGCAAAAAGUUUAUGCCGAACAAUAUAAGUUUAUGCCGAACAAUAUAACCUUUAGGAAAAUGCUAGGGAGACCAACUUUAGAUAUCAACUUGUGUACCAACUCUCUAAUAGAGUGUAGGACCCAUUGUAUUGGUGGGCUCCACCUCUAUUAGAGAGUUGGUACACAAGUUGGUAUCUAAAGUUGGUCUCCCUAGCAUGACCCUAACCUUUAUUGGUGCAAAAAAUUUAUGCCGAACAAUAUAACCUUUAUUGGUGUUUUGUCUGCUUGUAACCAUUGUGGUCUGGUAGAGGAAGGGAAAAGAUGGUUUAAACUUUAAAGGAAUGGAGGGCUUUGGGCUUAUCCCCCAAAUUGAGCAAUAUGGUUGGAUGGUUUAUCUUUUGGGAAGGACAGGAUGCUUGGAGGAAGUCGAGAAACUUAUUAAGAGAAUUCAUAAGGUUGGUUUGCAGUUACUGGAGAGAGAGAGAGGGAAAAAAGAUGGAGGUUUUUUUUUUAUCCUAGGAAAGAGAGAGAGAGGUAUAUACCGAGUAAAAAAGGAUACUAUCAACAUCAAGUAAAGAGAUUACAUUUUCAAGAAAGAAAAUAGGAGAGAGAAUUAUUUUAUUUUAUUUUUAUGGGAGAGAAAAUAAAAUUAAUAAUUGUUUAUUUAAAACAUUAAAACUUUUUGUCAUGUUAGAUUUAAUCUCAACCAUUAAAAGUUGAGUAAUCUAAUGGUCCAAAAAUUGUGUCAAAACUUGUAUAAAAAAUAUGGUGCCAUGGAUCCCCCAAUAUAUAUAUAUAUAUAUAUAUAUAUACCCUUGUAGGGUCCACUCCUUAUUGUAUUUCACUAAUCCAAACCUUCUAUUUUGUAAAUACUCAUUCAAAGAUCAUCUCUACAAAAAAAAUCACAUGAAUCCGAUAUCAUUUGACCACUCAAUUGAAUUAUUGAAAUUUUAGUACUUUCUUGAAUCACCGUGUUCAUUGAUUUUGUAGGACACAAUUGGAUAUCGAAACAAUUUUCGAUUUGUCUAAUUUUUUGCAAGGAUAAUUUACGAAUAUAGACUUAAAAAAUAGACGGUUUCGAUCGUUGAAAAAAAAUUCGUAGAGGACCGUAAGGGUGUCCCUCAAAUAAAAUUAUUUGAGGAAUCCCUCAAUAGAAGGGGACUAUAUAUAUAUAUAUAUAUAUAUAUAUAUAUUGUUGUUUGCAGGAUCCUCAUGGCUAGAGUUUACAGAAUCCAUGUCUGGCUUCAUUUUCAGAAUCAAAGAUGGCAAAAGCAAGUGGAAAAAAACCUGCAAAAUUUAAAUGCAAAUGUAAUUGAUAAUUUUGUUACAUAAACCAUUACUGGAAGACAUAAACGUCUGGCAUGUAUACCUAUUCUACAGGUAAAGUUUGUAAUACAAACUUAUCUUUUCCACUACAACAAGAAGUUAACAUCUUAAAAAAUAAACCUUUUCUAUGCCUAAGGUACAUGUACAUCAACCAAUUCCAAUAAAUGGGAAGGAAAAAAAAAAUCAAAUUUUACCCUAUCAAACAACAAACAAGAAAAAUAAAAGUAAAAAACCUUUCAGUUUGGAGAAAAUGAAAAACCUUGGAAAAUUAAGUAAAAUUACAGAACAAAAUUUGUUAUUAGGAAAAUCAUUGGCAUCCCUAAACUUCAAAGUUUUAACACUUCCCAAAUUACAUGCAAAGCAAAGGUAAUUACCCUAUCGAAACCCAAUUGUUGGGGAUUUUUAUUUGUUAUAUUAGUUUGAAACCAAUUCCCACACACAACCAAGUUCCACAAUAAUAUCUCUCAAAGAUAUUCCUCUACCCAAUCAAUUUUAUUUCAAUCGAUUGUAGUGUUUGUGGUCCUAGUUUAUUUUUCUUUCAUAUCUCUAGUUAAUUUCUGUACAAAUUCUAUAUAGUCAGUCUACUACCCCCGUCAACUUCGUACUCCCUAGGGGAUAUUGGUCAUGUGGAUGUGGAUGAUUUGUAUUCUUCAUGGAUAGAGAGCUGAGAGUCACUUGACACAAAAAACUUUUCCAGAUUCGAGGCAAAUUAACGUAUCAACAAAGUAGACCAGUCAUUAUGUAUGAUAAUGAGUCAAUGACUCUGGUUUUUUAUUCUCAUAAAUGAAAGACUUUACAAGUGAUUAGCAGUAUAAUUACUUGGCUGCCACUGUCCAACAACUUUAGCUUCUUUGACAGUGUCCAACUUGGCGUACUUGUUGUGCUCUCUAUCCUUUUUGGAUCCGGAGUUUCAUUGUCCUUGAUAAAAUGAAACCUUCACUUAUGCAAUUGACAUGACGUCGACAACCAAAGCCUUACAUACCAGCACGCACCUUCAACUGAACUUUUUCUCAGUAGAAAAAACAAAACACAAAAAAGCUUUGAACUUUCAAAGAUCACCCUCCAAUUUCAAAGUUUUGCAAAGCUUACUCUCCUUAUGCUUACAAUAAUAAGUAGCAGUAACUUCCCCUGUUUCCGAGUUGACCCUCCUCUCAAUCACCGUCACCUCACCCUCCCUCUCAUCUUUCUCUUCCAAUCAUGAAGAACCCAAGCAGACGUCUUCAUAAGUCCAUUACCAUGAAACCCAUUCUCACUCCUCUGUUCCUUCCCGUGUUUCUGCACAUCAUCACCGUACACGUGGCCGGUGACACUUCUCCUAUCUACACUCCGGUCGACGAUAUCACCGUUCAAUGUGGCUUUUCCGGCCACCAACUCAACACAGAGGAUAACAGAACUUGGACUGGAGAUAUCAACUCAAAGUUCUCCCCCCUUGAAAACCAAGCAGCUGGCCGCUCCUCCACAUACAGACAAGCACCUUCUUCCUCACCUGUAAACCAACUACCUUACAGCACCGCUAGGCUUUCUCUCUAUGAGUUUACGUACGAAUUUCCAGUCACCAGCGGCCAAAAGUUCGUCCGUUUGUAUUUCAACCCAGUUUCAUAUGGCCCUGACUUCGACCCAUCCAACGCUCUCUUCUCAGUCACAGCAGGUGGUUUCACCCUUCUCGAAGACUUCAAUGCUUCAGUCACUGCUGAUGCUUUUGGGUUGGAUACAAUUUACAGAGAGUUCUGUCUCAACGUUGAGUCAGAUGAGAGCUUGAACAUUGCUUUCACUCCAACCAGAGCAACCCAAGAUACGUAUGCUUUUAUCAACGGAAUUGAAAUUGUGUCCAUGCCCAACAAUCUUUACUACACCUCUGCAGAAAAUUCAGAUGGAGUUAAUUAUGUGGGCAGCGACAACACAUUUCGGAUCGAAAACAGCACUGCGCUGGAGAUGGUGUACCGAUUCAACGUCGGUGGAAGAUCACUGGUUUUCAUUCAGGACACUGGUAUGUACCGAAACUGGGAUGGCGGGCAAAAAGAGAACAAGUACUUAGACGAUUUAAGCUAUAAGUUUAGUGUUUUACCAGAAAACAGUAGUAUCGAACUCAACUUUACUGACAUAGCAGAGUACUCUGCUCCAGAAGAACUUUACCAUACUGGCCGGUCAAUGGGCUUGAACAAGACCAUAAACAAGAGCUAUAAUCUCACCUGGGAGUUCCCUGUCGAUCCCAAGUUUUUGUACCUGGUUAGGCUUCAUUUUUGUGAGUUUGAACCUAAAAUUACCAAGGCCAGAGACCGACAGUUUCAGAUCUUCAUCGCCAAUCAAACAGCUGAACAACUUGCGGACAUAAUCGAGUGGAGUGGUGGAAAUGGAAGACCAAUUUACAAGGACUACGUUGUGUUCAUGCCUGCAGGCCCUGGAAGCCAGAAGAAAGUUAGUCUCUUUCUCGCACUGCAAGCAAACCCAAAAGAUUUUAUGACCAACUACAACGAUGCAAUCUUGAAUGGGCUCGAGAUCUUCAAACUCAGUGACACAAAUCGGAAUCUUGCCGGACCCAAUCCCGACCCACCUCUUCUAAUAACCCCACGAGUGAUAGCUCCACCGCAAAGCCGUAAAUUUUCGAAUAAGAGUUCAACUUCUCUAAUUGCUAUCAUUGCUGGUCUAGUUUCCGGCGUGCUUGUUUUAGGCUCUGUUCUCGGGUUUUUCUUGGUGUUCAGGCGAGGAAGAAAAAACAAGGACUCGAGCUCCAACCAGGGAAUGAAAUGGGAUCCAUUUUCUUUUCCGGCGACCCACAGAACAUAUGGACCGUCUUAUUUGUGUCGUUACUUUACACUGGCUGAGAUCAAAGCCGCCACUCGAAACUUCGAUGACAGUUUUAUUAUUGGAGUUGGAGGGUUUGGUAACGUGUACAAAGGAUGCAUUGAUGAUGGGGCCACUCUCGUUGCAAUCAAACGGCUAAAAUCUGAGUCAUCACAAGGCGCCCACGAGUUCAAGACGGAAAUCGAGCUGCUCUCUCAGUUCCGCCACCGCCAUUUGGUGUCUCUCAUCGGAUAUUGUAAGGACGGCAAUGAGAUGGUAUUGGUGUACGAUUACAUGUCACGUGGGACCCUCGACAGCCAUCUCUACCACACUGACAACCCCCUCUUUCUUGGGAUCAGCGUCUCCAAAUUUGUAUCGGCGCUGCAAUAGGGUUGCACUACCUUCACAGCGGCACCAACGGCACCAUCAUCCACCGUGACGUGAAGAGCACAAACAUUUUAUUGAAUGAGAAAUGGGUGGCCAAAAUUUCAGACUUUGGAUUGUCAAAAAUGAGCACAAUCAACACGUCCAAGACCCACAUUAGUACGAUGGUGAAAGGCAGCUUCGGGUACUUAGACCCCGAAUACUACAAACGUCAACGGCUAACUGAGAAGUCAGACGUGUAUUCAUUUGGUGUAGUGUUGUGUGAGGUACUGUGUGCAAGGCCGGCUGUGAUGCAUAAUGCGGAGCUGAGGCAAAUAAAUUUGGCUGAGUGGGCCAAGAGCUGCCAUCGCGACGGGGAACUUGAUCAAAUUAUUGAUCCAAGCAUUAGGGGUGAGAUUGAAAUACAGUCUCUGAAUAAGUUCGUUGAGAUCGCUAUGAGUUGCAUGAAUGACAGUGGAAUCGAACGCCCGUCAAUGAAUGAUGUUGUGAAGGGACUUGAGCUUGCAUUUCAGCUCCAUCGCAACUGCUUUGAAAGGAGCAAUGAGGUUGCCUUCAACAAUGACAGUGCUGCAGCUACAAAUGAAUCCAUUCAAUGUAUAUCUGAGACGAUCUUUUCUGAGAUCAAUGAUCCAAAUGGGAGAUAAUGGACAACAUUUUUUAGUUACCCAAAAAAUGUAGCAGUAUUUGAAACCAAUAAUAUUGAAUGCAAAUUAAGAAAUUACGUGCAGUAACUCACGCUAUUUGAAACAUUUUUUAAUUCAUUCCUGCUGUGUUUUUUUUUUUUUUUUUUUUAAAUUUCUCUAAAUCUUUUUUCAUGGCUGCAUUCUGGGAGCCUUUUGUGCCAUUUCGCUGAAAUCAUGGAAAAUAUCAGACGAGACAGCCAUUCCGCUGUCAAGUAACUAUCUUAUCACGACGGCUGCCUUAGAAGAACCGCAAGGAGAAGAAGAUCCAUCCUCCAACUCCAAGAUCCCAAGCCCGGUUUUAAUUAAGAAAAUAAGGUUCAAAUCAAACGAAAUAAGAAGGGUGUUUAUCUCAACAUCAUUUUAUACUUUUUAGUUCAUAGAAAAUGAAAAACCUUGGAAAAUCAAGAAAAAUUACAGAAAACAAAAUUUGUUACUAGGAAAAUAAUUGGCAUCCUAAACUUCAAAUGUUUUUAACACUUGCCAAAUUACAUGGAAAGCAAAGGUAAUUACCCUAUCGAAACCCAAUUGUUGGAGAUUUUUAUUUGUUAUGUUUAUUUUUCUUUCACAUCUCUAGUUAAUCUCUGCACAAAUUAUGUAUGGUCAGUCUACCACCCCCGUCAACUACUCUCUAGGGGAUGUUGGUUAUGUGUUUGUGGAUGAGUCACUUGACACAAAAAGCUUUUCUAGAUUCGAGACCCGUGUAAGAAUCUAAAUACGCGUACGACCGACUCCCUUACAAAUUCAUAACUACGUCUAGUCUAAGAAUGGUAGUUAGAACAAGAACUUGCAAAUUUUGAAGAAAAUUUUUUUCAAUCAUGAAUAACUACAGUAUAUAUUUUUACUGUUCAUUUCUACCAGGAAGUAAUAUAACUAAGGAUUAACUAACUCCUCAAGUCCACUGCGUCUACCCUAAAAGGAACUAAGCAAAGUGGGUGCUUAGACAAACUGCUCAAAUUUGACAUGCAAGUCUUUGAUUCAAACAUCAGAAAACAAUAAGCAAAUUACCCAGUAAAUGCUGACUAAAUUAACACAAAACAACAAACUUGCCCAGAUCCCUCUGCCCAGUAGAUUCAAGAACCACAAAGAAAGAGACCCCACAAAACAGUGUUGACACUUAAGUAAAGUGGUAAGGGUAUUUUUGGAAGUUAAUAAGAGAAAGCAGGAAUGGGAAUCGUAUCGACUAGUCCCCCUAGUCGAUCUGAUACCUAGUUUUGAGGGAAUGUGAUUACGGAUUUUGAGGUGGGACCCACUUAUUUUUUCAUUCCUGAUUGCAAGUAAACGCAGGGGAAGUCAGGAAUGAAAAUCAUUCCCUUUCCUCCCAUACCCAUUACUGAUACGUAAACAUGCCCUUAGUCUACAGCCUACCCUACAAAAGAAAAUAACUGGUGAUAGUCAAAGUCUACUAUCUUCUAUUUGUGGAAAAUCUUUCAUUUAGAUUAGUGCCAAAUAUUUAACAUGCAAUGAAAGUCUUUGAUUUAGUCAUCAGAAAGUAAUGGGAACCAAACCACGUAAUCAGACAAAAAGUUGACAGGAUGACAGAAAGCAAUAAUCUUGUAUGUAGUAUUCAGGCAAUUUCUUUGCAUUUACACUAAGGCUUGUUAUCCCAAAACGUACUUAAGAUUUAUGAAAUUAUCAGAUUAUAUUUUUAAUUUAUUUUUUUUGUCAUUUGUGGUCCUUAAGGUUAGUAUAUGUGAUCUCAAAUAGUUCAUGCCGUUAGGUUCCGUCAAAAACUCCGUUAAUUUGUUGACGUGACAUAUAUCUCAAAAAACAUUCAUGAGGUUCGCGCACCUAUCACAAAUGAUCCCUACGACUUUUAUUUUUUUUCAUUUAAAAUUCAAAAAAAUUGUUUUCUUUUUAAAAUUUUAUGAAUUUAAAUACAUGUGACUAUAUUAUUGUAGAUGUGGGCUUCAUAUAUAUGUCACAUCAACAAACUAAUAGAGUUUUUAGAAAAUAAUUUAAAAUUCAUAAAAUUUAAAAAUAAAAAAAUGAAAAAACUAAAGGUUUAAGGUUCAUAAAUGGUCCUCAAGAUUAAAAUCCUUCUAUAAAUAGUUUUUUCAUUUAUAAAUAAUUUUAAAAAGAAAACCAAAAUUUUAUGAAUUUUAAAUUAAAAUAUUAAAAAAUUUCAUAGAGACCAUUUGUGAUAGGUGUAUAAAUCUCAAUGAUGUUUUGUGAUAUAUAUGUCACAUCAGUAAACUAACGGAAUUUUUUAAAGAACCUAACGGCAUGGACCAUUUGUGAUAGCAUAUACUAUCAUUGAGGAUCAUAAGUGACACAAAAAAAAAACGUUAAAGAGGCAAUUUGAUAGUUUCAUAAACAUUAAGGAUGUUUUGUGAUAUUAAGCCUUUACACUAAUAAGCAAAACAAGGCAGGAACUGAAACCAUAUCUACAACUAUGCAGCUUUCCCGCUUCAUUCAAACAUUUGGCACUAGACCUCCUCUCCCAAUCAUGACAGGCACAACCAACAGAUUACAACCACUUUUGUUUAAUUAUUUGACACAAUAUCAUCGUAUUUAUUGCAUCUAGAUCUAAUAGUUAUUCAAUGGGAUAAUAUCCCGGUGAUGCUAACGAUGGAUAGUAAGGUCAUAGAUCCAAAUCUUGUGGAAAGAAACUAAAAAGGAGUUUUCCCGUCUACUCCUAACAAUUGCAAAAUGAAUCCUAUCGGGGUCGAGAAAGAUCACCUGUUACGCUCCAAUUGCUCUCAGAAAUAUAUUAUUCAUCACCAACAUAUUCGAAUUUCAGAACAAGAGAGUUUUCCUGUCAAACGCAACAGAAGUUGCUGAUGAUAUAUAAGCAGUCAUUCAUCAUUUACCAAGCGUAUAAUCAUAAGAUUUGUAAAUAGCAAGAGACCUUUUUCCUGUCAAAAUUUCCAAAACAUUUGGAUCCAAAGUCCAAAGGGAAAAUAAUGUGGAAUCAUAAAUACUACUUCAAGCUUUCAUAAGUCAGCCAAGAACCUACAUAACCAAGAAUUUUCUAACGAAUAACUAAGCCCUGCACUGCCUGCGAGCCAUCUUCAGCAAUCCUGUUGGCUCGAAUUGUGCUGAUAACAUUUGCAACAUUACCCUGCCAAUGAGAACUUUGUCAAUAUACAAAUUCAAUAAUGAGAUUUAUGGACAGCGCAACAAAAAGAGUGGGUCUUCAUACAGUACAAUGAAUCAAGUCUCGUUUCUUUGGCAAUUAUUAAACAAGAAUUAAAAAUAAAGCAUGAAGCACUAGAUGUAGGCAGUUACUUACCCUCCAAGUUGCUAACUUUGAUCUAAGUGUAAGCCAUUGUUGCUGCCCAAAUACUCUCUCAGUACAGCGGCUGCAGAUCAAUGGCUAAAUCAGUUCAAGAACAAAGAAGCAUGAAAGAAUGAAUGAAUAAAUAUAUGUUUGUUUGUGUGUGCACACAAGGUAUGAAACACAAACCUCACAAUCACCACUUGAUUCAUCUGGUCCAUUUUACAGUCCAUUAACUUAGCAGUUAUCGCUUUGACCACCCAAAGUUCGACGACAUCAUCAUUAAUCUGCCAAAAACAAGUCCAUAAGCAUAUACUUAACCAAGAUGUGAAAGGAAAACCUUUAGAACCAGAAAGGUAAACCAAUCUAACCUGAAGUGUAUCUCUGAUAAGACUGUAAGGAAUUCGUCCAGAUUCAUCAGAGCCAAGAUCCACCAAAGAAAUCAACCUCAUCUUUGUUAUGCAGUCUUCAUGGACAAGCCCUGUAACAUUUCAUAAAGCAUAAUUUAGACGGCAAUAAAAAAAUCUAUUAUAAUGCUGAAGAAGACUCAGUCAGAAGAAAUUAAUAUUUUACCGUAGCCUUUCAGUAAAGUAGAAUUGGCAGUCUGAAACUCCAAGUAAGCAUCCAGCCUCUGAGUCAGAAAGAUCUUUAAAAGCUGAUAUGCCAACGCAUGCUUAGCAUCCUUCUCCAAUUGUCCUACAGCAGGCAUAUCUAGCAAAUCACACUGCAGAUCAAUAACACCAACAUAUCAGCAUCUAAACAACUAUUGUAGGGGGGGAUUUUGGUCAUCAGAGACAAAUGCCAAAAACCCAGUUGUUCGGGAGUUAUGAUCAGCACUCCAACUGGUCAAUACAGACUAAAGUCCAAAAGCAUAACAAAUUUCAUAUGUAACCUCAGAGGAAACUUAUUGAAUCCAAAUGAAUGUGAAUGUUAGAAGGAGCUUCUUCAAAAUGCAAGAAAAACCUUAAUAUCAAUAAUUACUUUAUACGAGCCAAUUCAAACUACUAAAUUGUCCCUGCACAAUUAACUGGAUCUACCUCAUAAGAAGAGAUUUUUUUAAAGGAAAGAAACAUAUAUUUGUAAAGGACGUACACAAGUAAACAAGGAUGAGCAUGCAUCAAGAGAAAUGUAGACCACUAAAUUAGCAUGCAUAAUCUUUGAAAUUCCACAAGACCCUACAAUACCUGAAACAAGUCAGGGGCCUUCACAAAUUCCACAAUUGUGCGCACAGCUUCCUCCUUGGCUUCACUCAAUAUAUAUGCAUCUUCACCAGAAAAAGUAGCUAAGUACUUGCUCAGGAAUUUGAAAGACUCCUUUGCCAAGCUGAAAAUACAACACACAAAAGUAAUCAAUUAUUCCUAAAACCAAUUGAGCAGGGGCAUGUACACAUAAAAAAGUUUACAAUUUCUACAUAGCAUACCUUUUGUGUUCUCUUAAAACAUUUGAGAUGGUAAGAAAUAGUUGCCUCUGGUCCGAGACCCCAAUAUUCCACUCUUUCAAGAAACUUUCUAUCUUUUUGAAUGAAGGGAUGACAUGUUCAGUGACCUUUCCAUUGAUUGCCAAAUUUAGAGCACUCAAGUAGACAAAGAACCGGCUAUAUGGAUUCUCCAGUAGGUUGUACAGAUUGAACAAGCUAUAAAGAAAAGUAUAAGUGUCGGAAGUACAUUCAAAAGCAUGCAAGAUGGGUCACAAUCACAAUGGUAUCUUACAUCUUUAAGCGCAAAGCAGGCUUGUCACUUGGUUGCUGAGUAAUCUUUGCGGAUAUAAGUUUUGCCAUCUCAAGAGCUUCAUCUGGACUUUCAGACUUUGUAACAACAUUGCAGAUAACAGUGAAUAUGCACUCAAGAUCUGAAGAGGAAAACAACAGGAAUUAUUGUGUAUGUGAACAAAAGUUUGACGAACAUAGACAUUAAGAAAACAAACAACAUGAUACCGUUAAGCUAGCAAUUAAUUAUCAUUGUGCGUUGAAUGAAGUGAUUACUAAGGUCCGUAUUGUCCGACAAUGAUUAUGAAACAUUUUAAUGAACAUUAGCAAUGCCUACAAUAAUAUGCAUCCCACUCACUGACCAAAAACAUGCGCACUAUUUUGAAGUAAUUUGCUAAAGAACUUGCAGUAAACAUUGAUAUAAUAGUCGGACAAUAAGGAUUGCAGGAAAAAACUCUGCACCAUCGACAACAUGUUCUUCACAUCAACUAGUAAAUGGUAAAUGCGUGACAAUACAGAGUCAUGCAAUUCUAAGCCUCUUUAUCCAUUUAACUUCUAAAAAAAGAGUACAUAAAGAUGCACAAUAAGGAUUUUACCUUUCUCAGAGACCUUUGAUAAUAUGACAUCAGCUGAAGUUAGCAUAAGUGACACCAAAUCGAACCACCUGGCCAUCACCAUGCAUUCUUGGGCUUCCGUGCAUAAUCUACUGACUUGUGGCUCAGCAACCUGGCAGAUAAUCAUGGCAAAGAUAAAUUUCUCCAAGGAAUUCACCAACUUCCGUGCAUACAAGUGAUAUACAUAUGCACACUAUUGAUAUACAAAUUACAUAAGCUGCUUUAGGAUUAAGCAAAUAACAUAACAUAUCUAACGAGAGGAAGCCUCAUUCUUAUCCCCUUGAUUUACUCAAUACCACAUUCCCAGCACCAUGGAUGGAAAUACAAAUUUUAAUAAUAAAAAUCAUUCAGUAUCUAAUCACAGAUUUAUAUACUAGUAACCCUAAAAUUUAGUUCAACUACUCGAUCUAAGACGCUAAGCAAAAACCACUAGACCACCGAAUUGGAGAUAAAAGAGAUUAAUUUGUGACCGAAGAGAACUCGAGCAGGCAUAUUGAGAUAAUUACAGAGAGAACAUGGAGCGGAGAAGGAGAGAGGAGUACCUCAGGGCCAGCGUCGGCCCAGGAGAGCUCUGAGGUGAAUCGGACAACGGAGAGAGCAGGAUCUUCCUCCGAGGUUGGCAAAAUAGUCGUCAUUGUUCAAGCUCUCUGCAGCUGCAACUGGUUUUUCUUUUGCAGCAAAGACAGAGCAGAGAGAGAGGGAGAGACGAAAACCCUAGCCGAGGCUUAAUGAGGUUAAGUCUAUCGGACCGUAGCCAAGUGCGUUGGAGUUACAUGCGCUAAUAGACGGCUAUUAUCAUCUAUGAGUUUGAUUUAAAUUCUGGAUCCUUUUUUUCUUCUUCUCUAUUUUUCUUUUAAUAGGAAAGGUUUAGCAAAAGUAAUUUAGAAUUCUUUUUUGGAUUUGUGGACAUUUACAAAUUUUGGAGAAACUAAAUGUGAUUAAAAUGAAUUUUAUUUGCUGAACUUAAUUCAUUAUUGUUAUAUUUGUAAACCAUAUACUCUCUUGUUUUGUUGAAAGUUGAACAAUAAAUCAUACUAAUAAUAUACAAACUAUAGUUUAAACAAAAUUUAUCUAAUUUACGGGAAUGAGAAUUUGAACUUAGGUGCAAGGAAUUGACUUAUUGCCAUGUCCAACGGACCUAAUGCAGGUCUACCUCCUCUUGUUUAAUUCCAUUAUUAGUUUAUUUGUAUUUGCCUUCACUUUUUUCUUUCUUUUUUUCGGCCUUCGCUUGUUUUUAAAGUAGGGUCUUGUAUGUAAAUUGGGUUUCACAAAAAAAUAUUGUGUAAGUAAAUUGCAAAGCGUUUCAUGUCCCAAAACGAAAAAGAAAAGUUUUACUACAGAGACGGAUAGGACUGCAUCCAACCAAAAGACUAUAUGGAGUAAAAUUGGGAUGGAAUAGAAUCAAUAGCGCAAACUGACACGUGGAACAGUGGACGGCUGGGAUCAAUCGACGGUUGAAACAAGUACUUCUCGUUAGAUUCCACUCUGUUCCAAACGAACCAUGUUUGCAGCCUCGGAGGCCGGUAGAAGGCAAAGACACACUCAACUACAAAGUGUUACGACUUCAAUCUCAACUUGCCAGUCAAAAAUACUAGAACUCAACUUAAGAUACUUCAUAGUUCAUGGGAGCUUUGGGUAUUACCUUUAGGAUGAAUUUGUUUGAGGUUUAACGAAUUUAAUCGUUCCGAUUAUAUUGCUAGAUUGUGAAUUCGGGUAGGUUAUUAUAACUUUAAUUUGAUCGAACCUAUAAUCAUAACUAACUUUGAUCAAAUUUACCUUAGUUUGUUCGAACAUGCAAUCAUAACCAACUUUGGUUACAUUAGAAGGAACCAAAAUUCUGAACUUUAGCUUAAUUCUAACUCAUCAUCCCACCCUUCGUCAUCAAUCGUGCUAAUCCAUCCAUUUAGCCUUAAAAUUUGAGCAUGUCCAAGUUAGACCUAAAAGAAAGCCUAUAUAAUUGAAGCUUGGGAACUGUUGUGUGAAGUUUCCACUAUAUAAAGCAAACAACACAUGAAGGCCACAGUUUUUGGAAUAUAUAUAUAGACAUGGAUAUUUCUGAAUUAUAUUACAGAUAAAUAUAUAUUAUCAUAAAAGUAUGUAACAUCCGUGCUUAAUAUUCAGAUGCUGAUGCAUUAAUUCCACGGAAUAGAAGCAAGACUACUCAGUUCCCACUACCAAACAAGUAACCAAGCGAUGAUCCGCCACCAGGAGCAGAGUGAACCUUGGUAGAUGGACGAUCCUGCAUGCGAAAAACAUUAUAUCCCUCCUGAGCUUUUGAUGCAUUAUUAUAUACGUUGACAAAAACCACAAGCCAAGUGGAGCAAAUAAAAUUAAAAAGGAUUUUAUACCGUGAUGAAGUUGCCGCAAUUCUGGCCCUCAGCUCGGUGGUAAUUGUUUGUAGGCUUCCCAUGGAGGCCUGCUGCUAUCUGCUGCUUAUCAAUCGGUGACGAAGCUGAAGCUGGAGCAAAAGCAGGGGCAGGAGCAGUCUCAUUCUGAGAAGGAGCCUCCCCUGCUGCCCUCACUGGGUUUUGAGUUCUUUUAGAUAGGGUCUUGUUAACAUUAGCAGUCUCUCCACCUCCAAACAAAUAGCCCAAAGAACUUUGCCCACCACCACAACUGACUCCACGUCCACGCCCCAUUUUUAUUUCUCUUCCUAUUUUUCCAGCAACAAAUCCAAAUUCCCCAUGUUAUUUCAAGGAGGCAAGGGAACAUUUACGCUCGAAUAUUCAUCGAAAACAAAAACAUGUAAGAGUUCAUUACAAGAAAAUCUGUAGUUGAAAAAUAAAAUGGGGUAAUUUACAAUUUCACAGCAUGAUGAAGCAUAUAUACAAAACCCAGCUAAAAUAUAUAACAAUGUAGCACAAUGCUUGCUGGUCCAAUUUUCUUUAAGAAAAAGGACUAAAUGGCAACAGAUUAUGGGGACAUUAGAAGAAACUGCACCAGGACCAGCGUAAGAAAUCACAUGGACGAUAAUUACAACAUUACAUGAAUAAUUUGGCCAAUGUAACCAGGAAAUGUACAUGAAAUUGCAGAAAACAGAAACGAAGAAUUCAGAAUUUGAAGGAACAACAUGUAUAGAAAAAAGCAUCAGAUCGUGACCAAUAAAAUAUUUUAAGAUCCCUAUUCUUUUGAUCCCCAAAAGAAUAACGAUAUAUAACAAAAUGGAUCUGAAAUUGAAGCGUAAAUAGAGAGAGAGAGUGAGAAAUUUAUUUCGAUAAACGUACUUUGUUCUCGCUUCGUCUUGGGGCCUAACUUUUGGAGCCAACUGCCAAAGAAACAGGGAGGUGAGGGGGUAAAUUUCUUAUUCCUUUCUAAGUUGAAAAAAGAGAGAUUAUGUGUUUGUGUUUUUAGAUUUUGUUUUUAAGAGACGUGGUCAAUUUUCUGAGGUGGCAUGCCAAUAUUGGUUGGAGAUCACACGUGGCGUGGGUUGAGAACAAUGAUUUAGUGUUGCGCCCCCACGGUAGUGAAGGUGUACAUGUCCAACUCACUUUACCUAAAAGGACUAACGUCUCAUUGCUUUCAAGCAUGUCUUUCAUGGUUGAAUUCUGGAAAUUUUGAAGUGAUUUGUUAAUGUCUCUCCAGGACCUUCUCUUAUACGCAAAGGUAUCGGCUUGAAAGUUAAUACAUGAUAUGUUGAUUUGCUGCAUGUUCACUCAAAGUAAACAUCUAACAACGAUUCUCUGUUGCGAUAAAAGUGCAUCAAACCUUGAAAAUUACCUCAAAAAUACAUCUUAUGUGAACAUAACUCUCAUGUGCAAUAAAACGAGCACCGAUAACACAUAACUUUAAUCCUAUCUGCAUUUACAUGCUUACUUACCAUCCUAUCUAAUGCAACUGCAUAAAUUACUGAUGAUUCCGGUGGCAUUUCUAUCGUGUCGCUGGAUAAUCAGAACGAAACGUUCUCUAGAAGCCAUCUAGCCAGAAAAGAAAAGGUGUUUCUAAGUAGAAGAAAUCUUUGAGAUCUCCACCAAUAACUUGUGCAGGGCUUGGGGCUUUGAGAAAAAAGGUGAGUGAUCGGCACCCUUCAAGCGAAGGACCUGUUCAGGAGGGCUUUCUUUUGUCAUGCGCUCCUGGACUGUGAUGGGUAUGGCAUUGUCUUCUGAUGUUUCUAUAUAAAACCGCCUCACCGAUCCAUAUUUCAAAUCCGAAAGUGAAAGCUUCUCCAGAACUGGGGCAAAGGGAAUUGGCCUCAUCGAAACAGAUGCCAAUGCGACAUCCUAGAAUAAGAGAAGUAAAAAGAAAUAAGCCAAACUGAACUGGAAAAAUGGAAAAUCAUCAUUUGUAGUUUAGCAUAUUAAAAGAAGAGAAACAUACCUUGGCAGGACUUUGGUUGAAUAACAAAUCCUUUAACAUUGAUUUAUCUAAAUCAAUAGCAGUUGGAGGCUGAUUAUUCCCAUUUGCAUACAAAAAUAUCUGAGCCUGUCGCAUAAGAUCAUCUGAAGUGGCCUGCAAUAAUUUUAAGCCUUAGUCACUCAAUCAACUUGUAUAAAGCUUAUAGAAUUAUGGUACUCAUGACUAGGACUUCAGCACUCACAGAAGCCCAUCCCUCUAAGACCCUCAGAGCCGUGAAUUCACAAAAAGUAGACUAAUACAACGCUAAUCACAUCCAUCUAAGCAUAUUUAAGGUUCCUAAUUCUAGUAAGAAUAUUACAUUUCUAUUUAAUAUUAUUUAUAAGCGAUAAGAAAUACAUUAUCAAAUUUCAGUUUUUGAAAUUCAUUCACAUGAGUGCAAAUUAUAGAUUAUCAAAUUAAAGGAUAAAAGGCUGAGGGAAAACCUGUUGGGAGAACAUUUCAAGAGUACUUUGUCCAUUUUUCAACAUUGCUGCAGCAAUAAAAAUGGCCUUUGAAACUUUAUGUGGAAACAACUCCAUUGCGUAUGAUAUGCAUGCACCACCAAAAUCAUGACCCACCAAGAUUACCUGCAUAAUACAAAAAGAACAAAAGAUAGAAACAGAGAGGAAGUUAUAUACUCAAGAAUUAUAUUGGUCUAUGUACCAAACAAUAAAUUUAGCUCAUGUAUGAAUCCAAAAUACUUGAAAAGCAAAAGCAAAUAAUUCUCCUAAGCUACACACACACACCCGCCGCAGCCCCCCCACCCCAAACUCCAAUAAACUAACAGCUACAUGAACAUUAUCUGUUGACAUUUCAUCAAGUAACUAUCUAUAAAAUACGUUUCCGAAAGUAAAUAAUACAUUCCAUAUGUGUAGAUAAUUUGACCCGUGCAUCAGGUUUAUCUUAUCAAUGUGCAGCAUUAUCAUAUUUUUGAAGUGCAAGCAAAGAUGAUUUAGUUUUGUUUAUAUGAAUAACAUUAAAAAAUUAGCUAGUUAUACAGUCUGAAAGGAGUGCAAAGUCACAAACUCAGCAGCACAAAUAAGAUUAGGUAUUAGCAAAAUAAUUGGAAAGCAACUGAAUAUACCUUAUUUCCCUCGGGAAGGUUUUCAAGAAAAUCAGUAAGAGGCUUCACAUAUUGAGAAAGACUUGUGACACUGUUUGCAUCAGAUGAAUGAAUUCCAGAGCCAGUCAAGUCUAUGGCAGUAACUUUAAAACCAACCUCCUCCAGAAGUGCUAUGGUUUUAUACCAACACCAAGCACCAAAGCCACCUCCAUGUACAAGGACAAAAUGGUUGGUUUCCAGAUCAUCAAGCUUUACAUCCUAUCCAAAAAAAAACUUGUUAGGAACCAAAAGAAUUCAUCAACGAUUCAAUGACAACAACGGAAAAAAGAUGGGAUUUUGUUUUUGUUCUUUUACAAAUUCCCUCUAUAUCGUGUGGCUGUCUAUCAAUUGUCAGUGAAAAAAUGGAGCAUAUAUGAGCAAUCACAACAAAGUAAUUUCAUAGAACACCUUGGUAAACAUCACCAUAAUUCUCUUUGAUAAUUUUAUCUUUAUUUAAAUGCAUAGUCAUGACGUCCAGUUCUCGACAUGAGUAUAAACAUCGGCAUGCAUUAAAAUGUAAAUUUCAUCCAAACAGAAAAAACAAAUUUCCAAAUAUAUGAAAUUUAGUUAAAACAAAAGUCCAAUAUCCUUAACAUAAAAUACGUCCAGACAAAUAGAGGCAUACACCUAUGCAGAGACAAACAUGCAUGUGUUUGUCCGUUUGUGCACGUGUGAGAAGAGAAGAGAUGAUACAUACAAAGUAGAACAACAAAUAUUUACAGCCCAAUAUUACCGCCUCGGGAUGAAGAAAAAAAUUAACCCAAGAAACCAGUUAGUAUGAACAAAAUGGAAAUCCUACCUAAAACCAAACCAAGUCUUGACCUUUCAGUCAUUAUUUCCUUUCCAAAAACAAAACAAGAAAAACUCGAAAAAAAAUUCAAUCAUCAUAAUCACAAAAUUAGAAUCUCAUUAAUUUCCACAAUCAAAUGCUAUAUUGCAAAAUACCCACAAGAGGAAACAGCAAAUUAACUCCACAACCACUCCAAGUUCCAACCUUUAAAUCCAAAUUAACAAAAUUUAGCCAGAACCAAUAAGCACAAACCUGGUUAACAAGCUGGUGAGGCUGGAGAAGAGGGUCGGUGAGGGACCGAGCCCGAGAGCUGGAGCUACGGGGCAAGGCGUUGCUGCUCUUCUUGGAGCUCGAAUUCGGGUACCGCAGCGAAGCAGAGCGAUCAAAGGGCAAAGAACCGUUCUGCUGGUGCUGCUGGAACAGAAUCGCGGCGGCGAGAGCUUGUUCUUGGAGCAAAGCGUCGUCGAGCUUCUCUUUUCUGGAGGAUCGGAUCCGGGUCCACCGGUUGCUGGUAUUGGAUUGCGGUGGCGGGUUGGGGAGGCGCUUUAUGGGUUUUUUCUUCACGGGUUGGGUUGCGAGGCAGGCGCAGAGGUUGCCCAUUUGGUUUGGUAAAGCAUGUAGAAACAGAGAGAGAUGGGAAAGGGAGAGAAGCUGCCCUGUGAAGAAUUAAAAGAGCCAAAAGAGGAGGGUGGUGAAGUGAAGAGUGAGGGUGGUGGCAAAUGGCAAAUGGCUGAGAAGGUGUGGGCUCGGUUGGACGAGAGUCUGAGACUUGUGAUGAGGAGGUUUAAAUAUGUAUUUAUAGACUUGUGAUGAGUUUGGAAUUUGGUAACAACUUUGGGCUUUCCCAUUUGGGUUAAACUUUUAAUUAAUUCAACUAAUAGUCACUCAUUAGUCUGAUUUUGACUAUUAUAAAGCUCAAUUUUCUUUUUUAAAUUAUCAGUAAGUAUGCUUUAAUUAAUCUUUUACAAUCAAAUUAACAUUGCAUUUUUUUAAAAUCACUAUGCAUUUGUAUUUGUGCAUAAUUGAUACAAGCUAUAUUGGAGGAAGGAUGAUUUGAACACAUAACCUUAUUUACAGCGAUAAUUGUUCUUAAUCACUUACCUUGCAAUUGGAUAAUAAAUAUUAUUAACACAAAAUGAAAAAAAAAAAUGGUGGAAAUCGAAAAGGGAAAAGGCAAAUGCCAACUUCUUCCUAGGAAGUAGGAAGGUGGCUCACAACUCAUUCAAGUUCAAACCCAAUGAUCAUCCUCCUCACCUUAAUUAACGUGGGAGGCAGUAGCUUGAAGCACAAUUUAAGUGGAUAUAAAAUUUCAAUUUUCUUGUUCAUUGGGAUAUUUUCUUGUUCAAGAAGAAGAAGAAGAAGAAAAGACCUAGUUAGCAAUAUGGUUGUGAGAUUGUUAGCUUUGAUAAUAAUGGUUGGGAGAUUGGAAGGUUGCCGCCGGCAUCUAUAAAACCCUGAAGAAUAUUAUGAUACUUAAUUUAAGCAGUCGUAUUCAUACAUGACUCUUUCAAAACUUAAAGUCUUGCAUAUGCUGCGACACUUUGAGUUUAUGGUGUGUCGGCGAUGGAAUCACCCAUGACGGCGACGUUUUAGGAAUGAGACUAAUCUUAGCAUUAGCGGUGAGCAUUUAUAUAUAUUGCCUUGCUUGUCAAGGUAUAUGCUAUGCUGUUAAUUGUUAGUUAGUUGCUUUGCAUUUGUUUGGACACGCAAUUAAUGCGGCAAUUUCUCGGAAGCCUACGUGUAAUCUAUUUUUUCACCUGAUAAAUAUUAAAAUUUUAUGCAUCAUAUGGGUUCCAUAUUUUUUCUUAAAAAUAUAAUAAAAUAAUAUGAUAUUUAGUAUUUUCGGAUAGAGUUAAAUUUUUUUUCAAGAUGUCAAUUUGCCACAUAAGCCAUCAAAUUCAAGUUUAACAUUUUGCAUUCGACAUCUCCCUCGGAGAUGCUACGAGAGAAGCUAUGUGUAAUCUCUUUUUUCAUCUGAUAAAUAUUCAAAAAGAAAUUGUUGAUUUCUGUGACAAGGUUGAAUGGAAAAUGGGAUGCAUUGGAUUCAUAGAACGACUUUUUGGACUUGUCAUGAGAAUCAUAGAAAAGACUUGCCUAAAUGUCACAAAUUUCAUGACAAAUUUCAAGGGAAAGAUGCCAUGCCAAGAAUGUCAUAAAUAAUGUUACAACUUUUCUAACUUAGCACAAGAAGAAAAAUUAAAAUAUUUACAACUUUAAUAAAUUCUAGUCCUUUACCAAAAUUUCUAGUGUCAGGGAGGGCUUUUACGUUUCUCAACAACCACAGCACAGAGAGUGUUGUGUAAAAGAUGAAUGCAAUACCCCAAAGAUUUGCUAUAAUAAAGAAGCAGGAAUUGAAAAUGGUGUGUUCUUUUCUUUUUUGAUCAGUAGGUAGAUGAGCAGCAUGAUUGCUUUGGUUAGAACUUAUAUGUUAUAAAUAAAGUCGGUUGGUUUCUGAAUUAAUUUUGAGAUCUUUCCUUCCCGCAGUGCUUGUGCUAGCCUGCUUUGACCUCUCUAUCUUUUCUAUUUAUGCAAGGCAGGCAAGGCAAUUGCAGGGGGUGGUGGAGAAAGUAGUGGUUAGGUUACAGAGAUUUGGUAUAUUAAUAUGCACAUCCAACAUCACCCACCAACUGUACCGGCCGUAUCUAAUACAACUCAAUGCAAUAUGAAUGAAUCAUAGCUUAUUAGCUGCAGCAUGCAGUAACAAUGGGAAACACAGAAGGUAAAUAUAAUUUGACUUCAUAUAUAUGUAAGACAAUAUUUUGCUUCAAAGGAAAUUACCAAACGGGUUAGUUUUAAUGACAGUACAGAUAUGUAUAUAUAUACAUAUAUCACUUUCUGAAAUGGAAAUCUGAUGGGCACAAGUCAUAUAGAUUUAGGACCACUUGUGCUUUUGAUUCCAUUUGGGGAUUUUGGCAUCAUAGCAAAGCAUAUGUUAGAUUAGGUUCAGUGAGGAAGGAGGAGGAGGAGGAGGAGAUGGGUGAGCAAUAUGUAUGUAGGGGUAGGGCAGAGUAGGCUAAUCAUGCUGUGCAUGAUAUGCACAUGAUCCUAGUGAUCCUCCGUGCAAAGCAACAAGCAACACGUGGAAAAAGACCCAAUUUGGCAGUGCACGCUCCCUCUCUGGAAUUUGAAAAAGAUAUCAGCACAUGAUCAUGAAACCCAGCUGAUCAUUUGAGUUGAGGUCAUGGCUAUUGACCAGAACACAAAGUAUGUACAACAGGCAGGGUAAAACAUUUCUAAAACUUAAGAGAUUUGUUCAUCCAAUCAAAAUCUUUGCUUUCUCUGAAAGAGUUUUUCCCAAACAUCAUGACAUGUGUUUGACCUGUGGUCCAACAUUUUGCUUCGAGAUUGACAGUCUCAUUUGAAAAGUUGGAUCAUACAAUUUGAUCUCGAUCGAGGCAUCAAUCAUCAUAGUCCGUGGUGCAUAUCUCAAGAAGUGGGCUAGCAAUGGACACAAGCAUACAAGUCUCAAGCACUUUUAAUCAUUGAACAUUUGAAGGCAAAUAUGUAAUCGGGCAAGGAGAAUACUAGGGUUAGGUUUAGUGAAACGUAAUUGAUUCAUAGCCAUUAUGAAUUACAUGUGUAAGACGACUAACGGUAAAGGCAGAAAUAAAAGCCUUUUAUGGAAGGUCCAAGAAGUGUCCAAAUAUCUUAAUUGUAUGGCCUAAAUUGGUUAAGAUUUGACUUGGAGUAUUGAUUGGGCUGGACUCCUAUGAGUUGUUUGGUACACCACAUUAAAGCCGCACUAGAUUGGACCCAAUUUUGAGAAACCUAUGUUGCUUAGCUUUUAAGCACUUCAACAAGAACCGUCUCUCUCUUUCCUCGCAAGUUGUCUCCUUAGAAACUCGAACCUCAGUUUCAAGCAUAGGGUAUGAGUCUAAACUAGUUCGAAGUGCAUUUUUAGACUCAUCAAACAACAGAAAAGACUAUAAUUCAUUUUCAUUAGAGAAGUCUCAUUCAGCCCAGCCCACUAAACGAGACCUAGAGAAGUACAUAGCGAUGCAAGUUUGGGGAAUAAAGGUCAAUCCCAAACCUACAUGUGGCUUCACAACUAACAGUAACAAUUUGACCCCCAAAAAAACGCUAACGGUAACAUCCCCCUGGGUUUUAUAAGGGAAAAAAGAAAAGAAAAAAGGGCAAGCACAAGGCCUAAAAUUUGUUUGCAUAUCAAAAGCCUUAUUGGGCUAUAAGUAAUGAACCAUAUCAUAUUUUUCAUGGGUUACGGGCCAAGACCUAACAUUUGAGGUUGUGGGUUGUCUUCGAUUGAUCGGUGAAACGUGGUCGUUAGUUGUCUUUGAAAUCUUCUUAAAAACAUACCGAUAAAUCCGCCCCCACUCCUCUCCCUCGCUUUGUCUCUCUCUCUCUCUCUCGCGAACUCAGAGGACUUCUUCUUUCGCAGCGACGCUGGAUACACCAAAGGUCAAAACUUUAUCCAUCUCUUUCCCUCUCUCUCUUUCGCGCUGUAAUCUGAGAAUUUGUAUAUGCAUAAUGAAUUCGACGUCGUUUGGUUCAUAUAACAUUUUAACGCAGUACCUUUGAUGCUUACGAUUUGCUCUGUUUCAAAGUAUUGUUAUUUGUUGGAUUUCUAUUUCUCUUCAUGAAUCUUUCUUCAUUGCUUUGAAGCUCUGUUUGUUUGCCGAGAAAAGAACGUGGCAAAAAUACCAAGUUUUAGCUUCUUCAUAUUCAUAAUGAGGUUUAACUUAGCUCAGUCCAAUAAGCCCGUUUAACUUAGCUCAGUCCAAUAAGCCCAUUUGGUUCUUGGUUUGGUGGAUUCAGUUACCAUUCUGUUAUUAGAUAGGAAGAAAAUUUGGCCCUGAAUAGAUGGAGGUUGAGUUUCUUCUUGGAGCUUGUAGGUUGGGAGAAGCUGAAGCUUGUUUUAGACCAUUCUCUAAAAAUAUGUUCAGCCUAGCUCACAUAGAAACUCUCUAGUUUAAAUGCUAACCAUGUGAAGAGUUCUAUAAAAAUAAAUGCAUAAGAGAUGAUCUGGCCUUGAAGAAUUCCAACAGUUUGUGGGGAUGUAAUUCUUCAUUGAAGUAGUUAUUUGUUUCUUUUAUAUUCUUAAAUCCUUUUUGCAAGUUCACUUGAACAACAAUAGAGUAAAUCCUUCCUCUGGUAAUGACUAAUUGGAUUUAUAAAAAAUAUGCACUUAUACCAAGUUGAAAUCCUAAAUGAAAACAAAAAAACAAAAAUUUGAUGUGGUUCGGCGAUGUGUGCCUGCAUCCAUGGGAAGGGGAAAGUUUCAUGUAUACUGGCUCAUGGAAGAGCUCUGGAAAUUAUUAGAGAUCCAGCCACCUAUAUAUGGAAUGAUAAAAUUACAAUUUAUCAACCAUAAUCAAGGAAAUAGUAUGGAUGGAUCAUAAUAUAAAUCAGCCACAAUUUGAAUUUCUUUCCUUUUCUUUUAUUAUUCACGUUAACAGUUUCCAUGUGAAUUAUAUGAUACUUGUGUCUAUAUUAUUUAUUGAAAAAGAUGAGAUUUCCUCAUCAUGUUAAAAGCUCAUUGUUGGUCCCUGCUGCCCACAACUUGCAGGCGCGUAGAGAAAGGGAAUGAUUGAAGAUUCUGCAAAACGUGGGGAAACAGACCUACUUAGGCAAAUAGUGGAAAACGAUCAGUCCAAGAAAAUAAUAGCUUAUGAUCAAGAGUACUAGUUCCUUUUCAAUGACCAAGGGCGAAGUGCAAGUUAAUCUCUUAGUAAAUUCAGCACCUCGGCCUUCCUUUGUUAGAAUUCAGGAGAUGGGUAUGGAAACUACCAAAAAUAACGUGAAAUCGAAUCAAGUGUUGAAAAAGAAAACAAGAAGGAGACGUAGGAUGAAGAAAUCAAAUCUACUGCAAGAUAUUAGUCUAUCUGAUAACCUGCGUCAGGAAUAUGGUCAGAGUGACACUAAUCAUAUGCAUAGAUUGUCAACUUUAAGUCUAGUUGAUGAAAGAAGUGAUGACAUAGUAGUUAUUUCAUCAGGAGCUGUUAAAACUAUGAAUGAAGUGGACCACAGCUCAGGGAUUUCAAAUAGGUCAAUUGUGAGAGCACCUGUUUGUGAUAUAGAGAAAAAGCUUCUUAUUCUUGAUAUUAAUGGACUACUUGCGGAUAUAGUCUCUCCUCCUCCAAAGGGACUUGCAUCUGACAAACGAAUUGCAGGGCGGGCAAGUGAGAAAUUCUUUGUAGUAUUGUUUCACUUAUAAAAACUCUAAUGCUCUAUUUGUUCUUUGUCUUUAAUUGCAUCUUUACUUUCUUUGUUCAGUUUUCAAGAGGCCCUUCUAUCUUGAUUUUCUUAAGUUCUGCUUUGAGCAUUUCGAAGUGGGUGUGUGGUCUUCAAGAUCCAAGUAACCUAUAGUCUGCUAUCAUUUCUUUCUUUAUUUCGUUUAUGCUGAAUUGAUUUUUUUUUCCUUCAUAUUUUGGAAGAACUUUUUUUUUGUCCUCUUUUUACUUUAGCAAUAUGUUGGUUGUUAUAAAUUGGUAUUAUUAGUGACAGCAAUACCUAUUUAUUUGUUGAAGGAGAAUUGUGGAACGAGUGCUUGAUUAUCUGAUGGGUGAUAUGAAGCACAAGUUGCUGUUUUGUUGGGUAAGCACUUCUAUUCCUGUUCCUUUUGUGCAUCAUCUAGCUCCUUGUGUGUAGAAAUUGUGAUAACAUUCUCGAGUCGACCUUUCUUGCUUGCUCAUAUCCUCAAUUAGAUGAUCUUGCAAUGAUUUAAAUUAUAAAAUCUCCUGAUUUGUAAAUCCGAUUCGAUCCGCCCCCCCUGCUGGGAGGCAUCUACCUCAUCCCGAUCACAAGGAGAGGGAAGGCAUACAAGACUUUGGCCAUUUUGGUCGAAGGUAGUCCCCGAAAUAUAUUGGUUUUGAUUGUUUUAUCAGCAAAUCUUUGCCUUAAUCUUUUUACUAUGUAUAUUGGUUAAAUCCUGGUAGAAAAAUAGUUUCCUAAAUUCAGAAUCACUAUCAGCCUAACAACAAUUAAAGCAAUUAAAGCAAUCACGCAUCUCAACCAGUCUACAACUAGCUUUCUUGUGCUUUUCUGAUGACUUAUCAUAGAUUCUUUAAAAUUAUCAUCUAAUGUUCACUUAAAAUAGCUCAAGCAUUGAUUUCCUUGCAUCUUAAUUGUGGAAAUCUUGAUGGAUUUUAUGAUGGCUUUGCAGGAUCUAUCCCAUUGCACUGCAACAGGUUUCAGGACUCUAGAAAAUAGGCAUAAGACCUUGGUUUUUAAGGAACUGAGGAGAAUAUGGGAAAAACACGACCCUAGUCUUCCAUGGGAGAAGGGCAUUUAUAAUGAAUCAAAUACAUUGUUGUUGGAUGAUUCCCCCUACAAAGCCUUGCUUAAUCCUGUGAGCUUCAUUUUAAUUUAUCUUUUCCCUUCUUUUGGGCUACUCAUAUAAGUUGUGUAAAUCUUUUUUUGGAUUUGUAUUGAACUCUCAUUUUAUAGGCACAUACUGCAGUCUUUCCUCAUCCAUACACGUUCCAACGAGGGAGCGACACUUCGUUAGGUAAUUAAAAAAAUUGAUUCCUAACUGCUUUAUAUUUCAGAAAAUGUACAUGUACCCUACAAGGCUGCAAAUACACUGAAAGUAUUGCAUUCUGGCUUCCAUCGCUUAACCUUAAUUAUUUAUAUUUUUCUUUGAAAGUUUAUAGGCAAUGUAAUUUUGAGAAAUGUUUAGAGGGCACCUCAUGGGAUCUCCCCAGUUGAGCGGUCCUUCAGUAUUCAGUAUGAAUCCUCUGAUUCAUUUAAUUAUACUUAUGUACACGCAACAAAUAUAACCAAAUGUUAGACUGAAGAGAAAAAAAAACAAAUUAUCCAAAAGUUUUAUGCAAAUUGAUUUGUCAGCUACUCCAAUAUGGAAUAUGGAAGAUGGAGUUGUACAUUAUAUGUGAAGAGAACCUUCGUAUUUUCUGGGUUUCAGUAAAUUGUUGGUAAAGAUGUAAAAGGCCAAUGUUACGGGAGAGGAGGAACUGAAAUUAGCAGGACACCUUUUUGUUGAAAUAAGGCAUCCAUCCCUAGCUCUUUUUCUCCAUGAUGACAGAAUGUCUUUACUGUGUACUUGGUUUGCUUUGUUCUGGAGGUUUGAAUGGUAUUAUGUGUCAAAUUUUUAACGAGUUAGAGGCAAAUGAUAAAUAAACUGACUGCAACAUAUGGCAGGUCCUGGAGGUGAUCUUCGGGUCUAUCUGGAAGGGUUGGCUGCUGCUGAAAAUAUACAGGAGUUUAUAGAGCAAGAGCCAUUUGGCCAAAGUCCUAUUAAUGAAAGUAGUGCAUCUUGGCCCUUCUACCUCAGGGUUCUUAGUACGGUGUAUUCUGUAGAUACCACCAACGUGACCAACAUGACCUGUAAUUCUUCCGUUCUGCGUUAGGUAUGAGUUUUGCAUAUCUUAUAUUUUGCUCUUGCCAUCCUUCGUGCCUUAUGUGGAGCUUUGCUCUUAUCCCUUAAAGGCGUAUUCUUCCAAAGCUUUGUCAAACAACUGGAGCUGGUGACUUGCCAAAACAGCCAUAGGUUAUAGAAAAAUUGACCCCACAAAAACUUGUAAUUGAAGUGUUUAUUGAAACAAACAUUGGAAAUUUACUUUCUGCUCCAUCCAUAUUGGAGAAUCUCUUAUGUCAUCCUUAUUUUUUGGUCAAGGAAUGGAACAGUUGAUUUCAUUUCCGGAUAUCAGAUAUUUAGUGAGCAAACUUAUCAGAGUUGUGUCUGAUUGGCAUUUUAAUCUUUGGUUUUUGUUUUGCUGGAACAUUUUUGUGCUCACCAUCCUAUAUUUGUGCUUGACUCUCAGAGGGUCAAGGCUUCUCUUGAUUCUUGGGCACCAUCUGUCUGUGAUUGGACAUGUUUUUGGGCUCAAACUAUAAGGCCUUUCUUUUUACCGACAGAACCAGUUCGGUGGUGAAGCAUAUGCUUCAAAUAAAGGCUCCCUUAACCAUGUAAGUUUAGGGCCAUCGAUAUAAUUAUAUAGGCAAGGUUUUCAUGCCUACAUAAUUUUCUGCAUCUCCCUUCCAUGUUUUUGUUGUUGCCAAAGUUAGGAAGGGGACGAGGGAAAUUCAUAUAUACAAGUACCUAAAGGGUUUGAACUCAGACUACUUGGAACCACACCAAAUAUUUUGGCCAAUUCAACUAACAUCCCAUUGGUGCAUCGCCCUUCCAUGUUAGAAACAAGUGGUAUGUCUCCUCUGCCAUACAAAACAAACGUUACCAACCACCAAGAAGAAAAAAAAAAGACAGAGAUAUUAAUUUACAUGGAAGUGAAUCUCUCUACCCAUGAGUGCCACUGACUCGUGGUAAUGGCAUUGGAUGGGCUUCUCAUGUACUAGUGUCACUAUCUCCUGCAAUUUCAUAAAAACAAAUUGUACUGUGGCCCUGUUUUCUUCUGUACCAUACCACUGCGCAGUCCACAAGUUGUGCACCAAAAACACUCAUGACUUUGGGAUGCCAUAAUGUUCUCUGUUCCUCAUCAUUUUAGAAACCUAGAAGGAUUUGGUGUUGACACUUCGACCUUAUGGUCCAGUGCCCAUCCCUCUUGGAUCUUGAAAAAAAAACCAGAAGGUACAAUACAGUAGAGCAAUUAUGCAAAAGGUCCUUCGUGUACUGUGAGUUUGAAAUGUAACCCAAUUUCAAAGGGACUGGGGCAUGAGCCAUCAUGGAGCUGCAUGGUUCACAAAGAUCGUUACGGCAAUUCUGAGCUUCACAUCAUGACAAAAGGGACUUGUAACAAACAUAUGGCCCCAUGCACCCACUCACAAAUACAAAAAAACAAAACAGAGUAGGUUUGGUUUGUGUGGAGUUCAUAAAACGUAGCCAGCCUAACUUGAGGUAUUUUUCUUCGAAAUUGUAUUGGGGUUUUAGGUUUGAUUGAACCAGUUGAAAUUGUCGCAUCAGAGUUUUUGUUUAUUUAUUCUGGAAGUAUAUUCAAACUUCUCAUCAGGGUUGGCAUGUGAUGCAGGCGACUUUUAGAUCCCACUUACCUGGCAAACUGAUUGGACAUGUUUUGUGCUUGACUUUUUGCUAUUGCUGCUAUCUCCAAUCUCAUAUAAAAACAGCAAAGAAUUUAAUCUCACUAAUGUCCCUCUUCUUAGUACACGUGACACUUGCUAAUAAUUUGGUUUUCCUCUUAAAAAAGGAAUUAGCAAAAAUGCAAACUUAAAGAAGCAUCUUCAAAUGAAAGCAGAAAAUUAGAGAAAGUUAUCCAAUAAUUGGUGUGUUUUAAAAAUAAAUAAAAAAAGUUUUCUUACACCCCAAGUUUAGAUGUGUGAGAUAGCUAGGAUGAAAGAGGCUCUAAUUCUCACGUAGAAUAAGAUGCAUGGAACAUUGACUUCUUCAUCACCCAACAUUGAACAAAUUCUCUAACGUGGAACAAUCCCAUAUAUCCAUACACGCCUUGUUUAAUGGGCACACAAUUUUGGGCCCUCCCAUGAAAUUCCUAAGAAUGUGUAUAGGAACCUACCCUACUCCCUCUCCUUGUGAUUCUUUGUGCACAUAUAAUUCUUUAUUUGUACAUUUAAAAUCGAUAAAUAAUUGGGACAUCUAUGGGAUAUUAUCCCAUUUUUGUUGACUUUCACAAAGCUAGCCCCUUAGUUUUCUUUAUUCAUGUGGUGAUUUGAAAGUUAAUUGGGUGAUGAGAAUUUGUGGGGAUGUGGAGAUCAUGUGGCAAUCAUGUUGGGUUGAUGCUGCAAUGCUUCUUCUUGGAACCUAGUUUAGGAUAUUAUGAUGGAGAUGCUUAGUUGGUCCUCUUCAAAUGAAGCUAAGCUAAAAGGCAGAUAGGCAAUCCCCUCAUCAUGUGAUAGUUUCACUUUUCCCAUGUGGCCCUGCACCCCCCCACCUCCCUCCCUCUUCAAUUUCAUCAAUUAUAAGUCCCUCAUCUCUAUCACGAUCGUCGCUUGCUCCCUCUCUAUCAUAUAAGAGAGAUUGCAUCAGCUACACGAAAUAAUAAUUAAGUAACUUUAGCAGAUGUGAAUUAAAUCAGUUGAUUAUAAUAACGGUUCAUUGUGCAGCCCCAGAAAUUCCUCGAUAUGUAAUAAUAAUAGUUUAAUUAAAGCAAGCUAGCUAACAUUCCCAUGCAAGCAAAACUCUAGCUAACUUAUUUCACAAGUACCAAAAUUAAACAAACUCAUAUUUUAUUAUUUAGUAGCUAGCAGGGUAGUGUUUGAAAAUGAUGAUGCACACCACCAUCACACCAUACUAAACAAAUCUGAGCAUAUAACUAUAUACUUUUGAAAAGGGUUUUAGGAUCUUCACUCCAUUGGCAUAUGAUCAAUAUAAUAAUAUUAAUAUGGGUAGGUUAGUAUGUUACGUACAUCUCAAUCUCAUAAAAAGCCAACAAAAGAACCAUUUCAGUAUGUUCAUCAUGUUCAUAUAUAAGAUUUUAAGUAAUAUUCUCUGUGUACAAAUUAGAAUAUUUACAGGUCUGUAUAUGCGAAAAUGUCGAAUUGCUUCCACAACAUGCUUUCCAUAAACAUAAUAGGUAGAUAGAAAGCUUGGCACUUAUGCGCUUGCAUUUUGGGUGGCACACCUAACAUGGGAGGGGAGAUUGGAUUCAACACCUACAUCUUAAAAGGUUAAAACUUUGCUCUUUUUGGUCCAAGAUAAACUCCAAAAAGGUCUCAUAUUUUAAUCAUCUUGUAAUAGAAUUUAUGCUCAUUGUAAUCCCACUACCCUUUUAAAUUUGGCGACAAAAAGAAAAUGUAAAGGUGUCUAAUUUGAGGUCUUAAUCAUUUAAUUAAUUAUUAAUAAUUAAUGUUCCUUACAAACUAUAGCUUGUUUAAUGGGUCAAUCCUCCGUACUCCAUGUUGAACCAAAGCACGUGCCACUCCUAUUCUAAUUCUAUAUAUACAUAUAUUUAUCGAAUUAAUGGGGAUGAUCAUGAAUGCGACUUUCUUAAUUAUAUAUAAAAUUUCUGAGUACGAGAGUGAUUAUGGCCCAGAUAAUGCUACAGCUGAAAAAGGAGGCACCAUUUAUAGCUAGUGGGGUGUGCGUCAUUUUCUUUAUCUUACUGCAACUUCAAAAUCGUAGCAAUUAAUCAAAUGAAAGAACAAAGACAUCACAAUAAUGGAAUUGAUAAGAACAAUGUCCUUAACUCACAGAAGAAUCGUUAAUAAUGGAAAGUAAAUUUGACCACUCUUUGCUUCACUGUCUUCACCAAAAUUACAAUGUGGUAUGUGGCAAUUAAUUUGCAAGGCUCAAUUGUCUUUUACGAAACACAAUGCUUGGUGGGCUCGUUUGGGAGUGAUUCAUCUCUCAUGUAUUCCUCCAUAAAAUCACUUAAAAUGAUUAUCCAUAGAAAUGAUUAUUUACCUAUUCAGAAUCAUUCCCAAACAAUGCUUUCCGAACCAUAUCAAUAUUUACUUAAAAUUUGUACCAUAUUUACAGAUCUGUUUCUGUAAAGUGAUUUAAAAUUUUGUUGGAGAUAAUUUAUCAAAGCAACACAAGGAAUGUAUUCUGGGAAUUAAGGUGUAUAUCUUGUGCACAAUUUUGGGAACCCUAGAUGCCUAAAUACUUGUUGGACGUCUACUAAGAACGACAUAUUUACACACAAAAUUUAAGUGUUGGGCCACCCCAUUUUUGCUGAUAUGUACAAAACUUAUAAACAAAAUGCCAGACCUUGCUGCUUGUUGGCAUUAUAUUGACAGAGGACAUUUCUUGUGGAAACACUUACCCACAUGUUUUUCCAAUUAGCCAUAAACUAUAAAAAAAUUUGUACACAUUUCAAAUCAGACGUACGGUAAUUAUUAUGUUGAACAAAACGCGAGUGAUGAACUCCGCAGUCGAUUUUAAAUUUGUGUCAAAAAUUUAACAGAUCCUAUUAAUGGUGUGUAUUAAUAAUUGUACUUGGUUUCAAGACAUAGCAAAGAAACAAAGAAGUGCACUUCACGCAUUAAAGCUUAAACCAUAACCCUAGCUAGUUUCUAAAACUAGAGGUUACAUGUACAAAUAGUGUACCUUCUCUGGUCCAGGCAUAAUGUAUCAUGCCGACAUAAUAAUUUUCAUCAGAAAUUAAUGUGAGAAUGUGAAGGUAAAAUUGUCCAACAUUGGAAAAUUAAUAAAUCUUGAAACUACUUAUAAGAAGUUGGGCUACUCUUCCAUUGCCAAUUCAUUUUGGAGUGAAACCUCAACUUUCUUGAUUUAAUAUAAAAUCAAUGUACGGCCGAUGAGCACAUUGGUGCGAUAAGGAUAGGUCCAUGGCCAGUAACACAUUCUUAAGGCUAAUAUUAGGAACACGUUCUUAAGUAAAAACCAUUUCUACAACUGUUCCCAUUUUAUUUCUUUUAUCUUUUACGAAUGAAUUUUCACCAGAAAAAGAAAAAGAAAAAAAAGAAGAAGAAACACACACACAAAAAUAGACAGAGAAUAUGCAAUCUUCCAAGGGGCUCAAAAUGACUCAAAUGAAACAUAAUGCAGUGCUGUAAACGUGUCUUUUCUACACAAAUAAUAUUGGGAAAACUAUGGUGGUCCAAACGACUUCAGGAUCUGCAAUAUUCUGUGUCCUGCUGCUGUACAUCAAAGAAAUUAUUUAACUUGUAACAAAAUAUUGGACCAAUCUUCAGCUUAAAUUUAGUAGUAAUUUGAAAGACUCAAAAUUUACCACAAUCAUAUAGAAACAAAGCAAAGAAAAUGAUUCUUGUGUAGUUGUUUGAUGUUUAUAAGUCGCCUUUGAAAGAUGAAAAAUACUCCAUUCCUUCAUUCGUAAGGAAGAGUUUUUACAUUGACAUAUAUGCGUGCAGAAGUUUUUCUUUUUAUAUUUUUGAUGAAUUAUUUUUGCACAUGCAUUAAACCGCAAUUUAGAUGAAGAACAUUGACAUGUGCGUGUAGAAGUUUUUCUUGUUAUAUUUUAAAUAAAUUAUUUUUGCACAUGCGUGAUUUGCAUGAAGAAAGAAUAUCUCCUAUCAGAGAAGUCAGAUUAUCUAGAGGAGGGUAGGUUAGUAAUUUGGCUAGGAUGGUUGGAGGAAAAGCUUUAUAGGCUGUGCGAAGAAAGGUUGCCAGUACACAAAUCCACUUUCUUAUUUCUUCCACCCUCUGACAAAUCCACAUGCUCAUGUAAAGAGAGAGGCCCUGCCUGCCUCCAGACCCACCCAUAAUUUUGUCCACAUGGAAAUGUAGAGAAACAUAUGAACAAACCACAUCUGUGAUCUGACCCACCAACCCAUUCACAUCUCUCCACCUCUCUCCACCUCUCUUUCUUCCUCAUCUUCUUAGCCUCUAAUUCUCUUUGGGAAUUUUAUAUAUGACACUUGUUUCUUUUUCAAAACUUAUGGUUUUCUAAUUGGUUUUUAAUAGAGGAAGACCACAUUACAAGAUUAAUUAAGAGUGUUGGGAUCUCAACUCUGAUAUAAUAUGUCUGAUACAAUUUCAUCUUUCUUCACUUCAUCUGCUUUCUAAAUUAUAAAUUUUGAAAAAUGCAAUAAUCUUAGCUACUAAAACUCCUUCUUUCUCAUAUGCAAUUAUAAUAUAAAAGGUUAUCACCAAUUCUCAUUCUUUGCCAAUCUGGUAUUGAGCACUGCAUACAUAAUAAAUACACCACAAACCUUCUUAUGUGCUUGCCUUUCCUAGAGGGAGCCAAAGGACAAAGUAUUCUUUUGUGCUGUGAGAGUGAGAAAACCCAAAAGAAAGAAAAAGAACAGGGGAAAAAAAAAGACAUUUCUUCUUGGGUCUGCAGAACUUAACCCUCUGGUGCAGUUGUAUUUUGGCAGUCCAACUUUACUCCUUAGAAGGUGGGGCUGGUGGUGACUGUUGAGUGUUGGGGCCCUUCCCAUAUGUCUCUUUUGUUCCUUUUGGUUUUGCAGGGAGAUAUUGUCUGCCUUCUUCUGAAACCCAAAAACAAUUUAUUUUUUUAUAUAUACACCACCGCAAGGUAUGGGACUUAUUCUGGGCAACUAGUAUGUUUUUUCUUAUUUCUUGUCCUCUCAUUCUCUUUUGUUGUUCUAGACGAAAAAACUUUUGAGGAGAUACAAAAUAAACAAGUAAUUCUUGAAGAAACUUAAUUUUUUCUCAAUUUCUAUUUUUUUUUUCUGCCAGGAGAUUAUUAAUAUAGAGAAACCUCAAUGCAAUCCUCUAGAGUCUUUUAACUAGCUACAAGAAUAGUGACUUGAGAAGAAAAAAAAAAACUCAGACAAGCUCUGUUCUUUCUGGCUAAGUCUUCUAACAUUCUUCAAACCUAAUUAUUUACAAACCUUUGGCUACCUGGAAUUACAGAAAUGGAAGCUCAAAGCUUGUAAGCUGUUAGAUUGUGAAACUGAGGAAGAACAGGUGAAGUGAAGAUGUCUGCAAAGAUUUUGCACUCUCUAACAGAUGAAAGCCCAGAUUUCCAUAAGCAAAUUGGGUGCAUGAGUGGAAUUUUUCAGCUCUUUGAUCGCCACCAUUUCCUCGCCGGCCGGCGUGUCAAUGGCAACAGCCACAAGAGACUUCCUCCAGGUAUUUAUUCCCUCUGCCAUUUUUACAAGUUCAGCAUAUAUAGCUCAAAGAAGUUUAAUAAACUGGUUCCUCAAAAACCAUUGGUUUGUAAUGAGAAGUUGGAUUUUUGCAAAAUUUAGCUCAGAACUUGUAAGAGUUUCGGAUUUUAUCAGUUUUCAGCAAUAUUUUUACACAACCAUCUGCAAAUUGUUAAAUAAGACGUAUGCAUAUUUUAUUAGUGUUUAUGGUUUCAUAAUGCAUAAUUUAUGAACUGUUAAUCGUAUUUGCUUGUGUUUUUCAUGCCAUUCUCUCAACGACCAACAUGUAUAAUAUAUAUAUAUAUAUAUAUAUAUUUUUUUUUUUCCAGGAGAGAAUGGCAACCACGCAGUAGAGUCCAAGAACUCAUUGCAGAAAGCUACAGUAAGAAUUCAGCACUUAAUCGCAUUAGUGGAUUUAACUUUUAAAUAGAAGCCUUGAUCUUUUGAUCAGAUUGAGAGAGAAGGAUUCAUUAUAUGCAAUUUGCAAUUGCAGGAUAAAAAUCGAACAAAGGUGGUGAAAGAGAAACACAGAAACUCCACAGAAUCAUCAAGAACUACUGUUUCUUCUUCUUCUUGUUCAUCUAGCUUCUCAUCCCUUGAAUAUAAAAAAGCAGCUGAGCAAGAACCAUCUUUGUCCAGCCAAACCAUUUCAAAUGAGGAACACACUCGGGACCUAUCCAUGAACCAACCAAAUGCUUCAAUGCACCUGCGCCGGCAAUCCUUUGAUAUGCAAGAUCUUGUCAAAGACUCGACCUACAGAGAAGCCCGAGGCAUUUCAGUUAAACCUGCCGGUAAAGAUGGGGUUGGUCAUACAUUGAAAUACAUAGACUCUCCCAGGCCUUCAUCACAAUCAAAAUUUGUAAGGCCAAGGGUUUCUGGCGUUAAUGACUCAUUUCAAGCUCCUGCUAAGCUUCGGCAAGCACCUUGGAGUUCCAAUGAAGAGAAGGAUGGUUGCAUGCGCUUGGUACCAAAAGAUGCUAGGAGGUUCUCUUAUGAUGGAAGAGAAACGCGAGAUACAUCAAAAUCCACCAUAAAACUGAAAGAACUCCCAAGGCUUUCUUUGGACAGCAAAGAACGUUCCAUAAGGAGGGGUUGUAAUCCAGAAAUAAAAUCAAACUACUUCUGCAAGGAUCUGCAGAGGGAGGAUGGGAACUGCAAUAAAGUGCUUGACCUGCAGCUUGAACCUGGAAGUUCUAACAGACCAUCUAAUGUGGUUGCAAAGUUGAUGGGACUGGAUCUGUCAGAUUCAGUGUCAACCACUGUUAGUCCAUUAAGGUUGAUUAAUACCUGCAUAUCUGAUAAAUCAGACCCCUUCUCCAGAUCUUCAAGAGCAACCAACGAAAACAAGCCAGAUCUUUUGUCUGGGGUAUUCCUCGGGAAAACACAGAAAGACUUCACCUCCCCCAAGAGGAGUACUGAUUCAGUCAUGAAGCCGGCCUCAAAUUCUAAGUUUCCAAUAGAAACAGCUCCUUGGAGGCAGCCCCAUGGAAGCAAAGGUUCUCAGCGAUCAGUUUCCAAGUAUCAAGAAGAACCUAUAAAAACCCCAAAAUCAGCAUCUUCAGUAUAUGGUGAAAUGGAGAAAAGGCUAGCAAAUCUUGAGUUUAAAAAAUCAGGAAAGGAUCUCAGAGCUCUGAAGCAAAUACUUGAAGCAAUGCAGAAAACUAAAGAAAUGUUAGAUGACAGAAAGGAUCAAGCUUCAAAUGUUGCAUCUCAAAUAAGCAACAAAAGCAUUUUUUCUGACAGCAGAGAAUCAGCAAGCCAGAGAAAUCUACAAAGCAACAUGUCAGUUCCUGCCAAAGCCAAGGGUUCCCAAUCUCCAAAGAGUCAUAAGUCACCGAUCAUCAUGAAACCAGCUAAACUCAUCGAGAAAACCCACAGCUCUGCUUCCACAGUGAAUUCCAUGGACGACACAUUAGGUCUUCGGAGGCUUCGAACUAGCGACCCUGGUGAUAAUGGAAAAGGAUUGGUUGACAAAAAACCAGCCAAAGAUCUGACUCCAAAGACCAAUCAUAUCAAAGAUCCUUUCAAUCGACGCCUUCGUUCCACUGAUAAUAAUUCUAACACAAGAACUGUGAAACCCCUACAGAAACCCAAGGUGUCCCAAAAUAUGAGGGAAGCAAUCCCCAGCAGCUCAAGUAGGAGUUCAGGAAUCACAAGCCCAAGACUGCAACAGAGAAGACUUGGAUUGGAGAAGCAAUCUCCUCCAAGCACUCCAUCAUCAAAUUCAAGCAUGACCAGAAGGGAACACACUAGGCAGUCAUUUGAAGCAAACACCCCAGGUAAAAAACUUGAGCAAAAGUCUCCCAGUUUGCGUCAAAGUAAUGCGCAAUUGAGGGAGACUAGCACCAACACGAGAGAUAUGAGUCAUCGAGAUGAUGCCACUUCUCAGCAAUCUGAGAGUAACAUCAGCUGGGCCUCACAUACAGACACAGAAGUCACAAUCAUUCAUCAAUCAGAUAGGACAAAACACAUGCACUUCAACCAGCAUAGCCAAAAACAAAAGGUAAGGGUGUCCCGGUUCUCAUUCAUACCUGUAGUUAUUUGCAGAUCUGGGUUGACAGGUUUCUUUUUACUUCACAGAGCCCAGCAGUGGGGUUGAGUGAUGAUAGGUCAAUGGGAGAACCUGGGAAAGCUUCCUCCGAACAACCAAGUCCUGUCUCUGUUCUUGAUUCUACAUUCUACCGGGAUGACUCGCCAUCUCCAGUGAAGAAGAUAUCAAAUUCCUUUAAAGGUAAAGUUCUUGUGCAAUUGAGACCUUAUGUAUAGUAUAAAACAUGCAAGACUCCUUUAAAUUAAAUUUCCUCAAAUUUCAUGCUACAGACGAUGAAGCACAAAAUCUUGAUGUAGUGGAGUAUGACCCCAUGGACAUAGCUCUGUUAUCACACAACACGAUGCCCAGUCUUGGGGUCAAAAUUGAUCAUACAAUGUUAGAGAACCUGAAGCACCUGAUUCAGAAUCAUGGACGCAUGAGCAGCACACAUGGGGAGUCCAUCCUUGGUCCUCUCUGUGACAGCACAAAUCCAGACCACAUGUACAUUUCAGAUAUAUUGCUGGCAUCAGGUAUUCUAAGGUAUCUUAAAUCUGCCUGGACAACCAUUGAGCUCGACACAUUUGACCACCUGAUCAACCCUCAUUUGUUCCUUGCACUGGAAGAAAUCAGGACAAAUACAAAACCUUUUGAUGAUGGAAAAAUAUGCAAAGCAAUUCUCCAAUCCAAACCUGACGAUAAAAUUCAAAGAAAACUAGUAUUUGAUGUGGUUAAUGAAUUUCUAAUUCAAAAACUAGUGGUGGAAGACUCUUUCAAGCAGUGGUUCUCACCACACAAGCUUGCAGAAGGGAAACCAAGAGGCCAGCAGCUUUUCAGAGAAUUAUGUUCAGAGGUUGAUCAGCUACAAAGAAACAAUUUGAAUGGCAGCCUAGAUGACGAGGAUGAUAGUUUGAGAAACAUCUUGUUGGAGGAUUUCAUGGAUCAGGCAAAGAAUUGGACAGAGUGUGACAGUGAAAUUCCAGGUGUAGUGUUGGAUGUUGAGCGGUUGAUAUUUAAGGAUUUGAUAACUGAAAUUGUGAGUGAUGAUGCAGUUGGCCUGCAUCGUUGGUCUGGUGGGCAUUGCAGGCAACUGUUUUCUGAAAGGGGGCUUUGGUAGCGUGGAUUCAAAAACUCAAAUGGAGGAUGACAGUUUGUGAAACACCUUGUGGGAAGAUCUCAUGCAUCAAUCAAGGCACUGGACUGACUCUGAUGGUUAAAUUCCAGGUUUGGUGUUGGAUGUCAAGUGGUUGAUCUCUAAAGACUCUGACUGAAGUUGUGAGCGGUGAUGAAGCUUGAGCUGCAUGGUUGGUCUGGUAGGCACUGCAAGCUUGCCAAGAAGGGGAUCUGAUAGCAUUGAUUUUCUUUAAUAAAUAAUUCUUAUGCAAUCUUACUGAUUCCCUCAUAGUCUUUUUCUUUUUCUAAUUUUUUUUCUUCCAGAUUUUAUUAGGAAAAAAGGAGGGGAGGUGGAUUUUAUUUUAGCUUAUCUUCUGUAAAGUCAUAAUAACUAUUGGGUAGAAAUUCAGCUAUUCUCAAACAUGUAAAUCUUUGAUAGACGCCAAUGACACACAUGUAAACAUACAAUCAUAGUGUAUGCAUCUUUCCCUUCCAAAUUUCUCAUGCACGAUUUAUUCAGAAAGGAAAAGACAUUUAACCGUUCAUUACUCUACCCAUAGGAUACUGAGUAAAUGAACCAAAAUAUUACACCAAACAUAGAUUUUGACCUUUUUUGGAGACGCAUAUAUAAAGCAACAAAGUACACAAACGGUUAGGAGUAAUAUUUGUGCACUCAUUCAGACAAAUAUCAUUAAAGAACAAACAAAAAAGGGAGAAAAGAAUUUCAAUUAGAAAGAAUCAUUAACUGGGUCUAUCACACCAACUGGCACUAACAUACCUCAGAAACUUGUUAAAGUAGGAAAAUUCCCUCCAGAACUUUGUAAUAUCCAUUCUACAAUGCCCAUAUGCAGACAACACUAUGCGAGCCAGCUUCCAUUGCCAGUCUCCUAAACAAGUGUACAAAUUCUAAUAAAAAACAACCUAAUUUACAACUGAGCAAGCUCCUGUGAGUUUUCCAUGGAAUUCUUCAGAAUUUUCUCAGCCCUCUUUUUCUUUUCAUCCUUCUCAUUUUCUCUUCCAAACCAGGAAUAGUUUUUCUGAAAACCCUUGUUAUGUGGGCUUGAAUGUAACAUAGUACUAAAGGACGUCUUUGCAAUUCCAAUCUUAAAUUGAACAGUUGGUCUCCUGCUCAAAAGAAUCUCUUUAUGUUCCUCCUGUGAUUCACAUGAGCUGCUCUUCAUUGCUUCAAUAGCAGGAGCAAAGGUCUCCAACACUGAAGAACACUUCUCUGCGACACGGUUCUCAGCAACAAGUUUUUCCACUGUUGCUUCACUUGAAAGUUUAGCUGGAAGAGCAACAUGAGAUACUUCUGUCUCCCCAUAUUGCAAAGGAGCAGCAAGAAAAGGGUUACUUUCUCUUGCUUGUUUUGCCUUAUCAGCAUCUCCAGGGUCAAUAGAUGGUCCCUCCAACCCAUUGCAUACCAGCCUCCGCUGCAAAUUGAAUAGAGACCGCUCCACAUUUCUCUGUUUUUUUUUCUGCUCAAUCAUAUCAGUGUGAAGUUCUCUAGCUCUCUCAUUGGAUAUUGGUGAUGGAACAUAUGUAUGGGGUUCAGGAAAUGCAGGCAACCAAAUAGGUAUAUGCUCUCCAAGUGUCUCUACCCCACUUUGCAAAAAACUUGGAGUGAGCUUCCGGUCCUUAACAACUGGGAAUUGAGGAAUAGAGUAGGAAAAUGGAAUAUGCUCAGUUUCACCAACAUACUGAGCAAUUUCCCUAACCGUCCCUGAACUUGCAAGACAAUGAUCAACAUCGGAAGCACCUGCAAACCCCUGCGCCAAGCCCAAAUCUUCCAACCCUUGAAUGAUAUCAAAAACAUUACAAUCCAUUCUGCCAGAUAAAUUGGCAUAGAAAUGUGCCGUCUUUCCAAUGUUGUGAAUGUAGUGAACAGCAACAUCCGACAGUGUUUCAAGAGCAGACAACUGGUAAGUCUGAAACCCCACUAUUUCACAUACUUGUGCUACUGCAAUCUUGGCAAUAGCUCGGGCAAAAUCAUCACCGCUUGAUUUUCUCUGCGUUCUAUUGUGUUGUUCAUGUUCUCUUCCACUCUCCCCACCUCCAUCGCUCAUAUUCAACCCCUCAUAUCAGGCCACCCGACGUGGUAUAUUUAAAACCAACAUUCUAGGUGAAAACCCCGCAAACCCCAAAUUAUUUACCCACAAAGCUUCAUCAACCACUCACGUAUGCCUCUGUUUCUUUCCUAAGAAAAUGCAAGAAAAACCAACAUAAGUUUAAAACUCAUAUCCGUACACAGCCAAAACAACCUAAAAAGAAAAGAACGAAAAUUGGAAAUGGAACUUUACUGAGCUAGUUGGGUUCGCUACAAAGAUUUGAUUUGUUCUUUCUUUUAGAAACCUUGUCUCAGUAAAGGGAGCAUACAAUUAACGAAUGGAACUGCUUAGCCGUUAUAAAUUAUAAAAGGGCGCACCCCAAAAAAAAAAUAAAAUACAAACAUAAAUCGAAAGUUAAAUUUUUCUGAGUUUUCUCGGCGACCAAACUGGAAGAACGAAUCAAACCCUAAAAAUUAUCACUUGGAACUGAAUCAACCAAUUGAACAGAUAAAAAAGAAAGAAGACGGGAAUUAUAAAGAAAGAAACUUUGGGAUGCAGGCUUACCGGCGAAGUCUGGGGCUUUGCAAUCUAAUUGAGACGCAUUGGCCAAGUAGAGGUCGAGCUCAGAGAUGCAGUGGCGCUCGAAACGCCAUUCGCUCCGAAUUGAAAACGAGCGAAGAAACCGUUUCUAGAAAAGAAACGUUGGAGAAGAAAAGAUUUGAGUUUGGAUUGGGCUUAAACCCUAGAAAAACCUCUGGAUCGAGAGAGAGAGAUAGCGAGCGAAAGGGACAAGGUUUGAGUUGAACGGGAGUUGGGAGUUGGGAGCUGGAGUUGUAGGAAAGGAAAUGAUUGUUUGUAACAACCUACGAACGGGAAGAAGGGAAUAGAAUAGAAGAGAGACUUGAAAACCGUUGCUCUUGGUUGACACCUGUCCCGCAUGGCAUUGGUCUGGUGGUGGUACCUACCUAAGUUGCACGACUUGUCGUUUUUAGUGAUAUUAGAACCCAAGAACUUCACGACAAGUAGUACAUCAGGUCUAAUCUUCCAUUCGUAUAUGAAUUGGACUUGCACAUUUUGGAAGCCUCUGUCACGUUUUACUAAAUAAAUGGUUUCGUUAUAGCCUAAUGGUUUCAAGAUAACAGCAAUGAUAUCUACCAUGACACAUUCACCAGCUUCUUACCAUGUGAUGUUAAAGUGUGAUUAUUUGCGGGAGUUAUAAUAAGUGUAUGUGUCCGAUUUCUAUUGUUGAAUAAAUACUCUCAUGCACAUAAACGAUUGACUUUAACACAAUUUUUGUGUGAAGUAACAUUCUGCAUGGAGCAAUAUAUGGCUUGUAAUUAGUAACAUUGUGUUGUUGGUCAAGUCAAGAUGAGUUCGUGCCAUUCAUGUAUACAACUAAUAUUAUUAGACAAUUUCGACAAAUUUUUUUUAAUAAUAUUAUUAGACAAAAUUAAGUCUAUAUUAAUAUUAAUUGUUGGUUCCAUCAUAAGCUAUAUCAAAAUUCCCUUAUAGUGAAAUGUUCAAAUAAAUCAAAAUGGUCCUCACAAAACUACAACUUUCUUUUAAGGGGACAAAUAUGUAAAAAAAUGGAGGACCUUUCCUAUUAAGGAGGGAGAGAUAACAUACUACACCCAUACACACUACACUGAUGCUACUCGAAAACUUUUCCUCGGGGAGCAAUUGCUAUCCAAUAUAUAUACUAUAGGGUAGAAUUUGAAAACUUGGGUGUGCGUGUGUUUGGAUUUUGGAUUAGGGAUUUUUCGAAUUCACUGUCACUAUAUAUAUACAUGCCCCAUGCAUAUGUCAACUAGCAAUAGUAUAACAUCUGCAGUGCAGAUAGUAAGUUACUUUGGCAGAAAUAUGAUGAGGAUUUCCCCUCUUUCUCUUUGCUCGAUUAUUAUUGCCCCAACUGCAUGCAACAACUUCCUGCGGUUCCCUGUAAAGUGAUGUAUAUAUAUCUAUGCAUGUAUAUGUAAAACAAAUUCAGCAGACAACACUUGCAGUACUUACUAUAGUACCACUGCUGUUCAAUCAUCUUGGCCUUAUUGUAGCUUAAAAUGCAUUGCUCAGUUUCAAGGCCACAAAUUAGAAUAAACUAUAUCAGAUUCAAACUAUUCUGAUUCUAAUGAAUUAUUUUAGUUAAUGAUCUUUACUAUUCCUUAAUUCAUCAAGGACCUAAUUCCCUGCAGAUAACUACAAACGAAUUCUCCAAGUCCUAAGGUAUACAGAAGCGGGCAUCCAUUGGACACAACACAGAUGAGAAGACAACAAACUCUCAAAACCCUUAUACCGACAAAGCAAUUGUACAUAAGUUCUUCUUUUUCUUUUUUCUUUUUUCCCUCUACAUAUUCAAACCAGCGUGAGAUUCCUUCCAUAUAUACUUAUGUAAAAUUGAUGCUGUUGGAUCUUGUGUACGUGAUGUUGACAGUACUGUUCUCAAACAUCUCUCUCAUAUGUCUCACUCUAGGUCGUUAAUUAAUUAUAGCCUGUGCCUCUCUUCUUCCCUUUACCUUCUUCUCCAUCAGAAGAAGCUUCAACUCUGACGUACAUCCUAUUCAUUCCAUCCAGACUCCAUCCUUUAAUUUCAUGUUUGCGUGAUAUCUAGCUAGCGGAAAGAAAAAGAAAACAAUUUGUUUCUCUUUGUUGCUCUCAUUAUUUCUAGGGUUUUAAAUCUUUGUUUGCAGCUGCUAGCUAGGUAGAACAAUGCAUCAUAUAAUCUCACGAGUGUUUAAUAAUCAUCCCCGAACAUAGAAAAAGAAGAUAAUAAUCCCAAACUUUAACUUUUUUAAUUCUCACUUCAAUGAACAUAGCACGCACAGAGAUUUAAAUACAAUAAUCUACUGAAAAUGAGUUAUGAACAGAAGGGUAGCGUCUGCCAAUGCUUCGAAUUUAUGGCCGAAACCUUUUUUUUUUUUUUAUUUUAUUUUAAAUAUAAUUUAAUUGCAGAUUUGAAUGUCAUAUAACAUUAUAAAGCAAAAUUAAGUAGGAAAUCAAAACAUAUAUCUUUAAUCUGAAAUGAACAUUAAGAAGACUGACUGAAAUCCGACAAGCAUCGUAGGAUGUGUUCCUGUACCUUUGCCUGCGUUCCCUAGCUAUAGCUAGCCUAGCUCCCAAUUUCAAAAGAAUCUGAGCCAUAUGCUUUGUUUCUUAUAAAAGGAAAGCUAGCUUUUCACGACUCUUGGAAUUAAUUGCAUCAUGUGCAUCAUCUAGAAGGAGACUCCUGGUCUGUAUUUGGCUGAUGAUGAUCACUUCCAGUAGUGUUGUUUGAAGAACGCACAAGCUUAGUCAUCAUGCUCAAAUGGGGUGCUCUCAGGGUCUGGCUAUUAGGGUAUAGAGUUGGUGAAAGAGAAUUUGGCAAGAGGUUCUGAGAAGUACUGCUUGAGCUUAACAUAUGCAUGUGGUUGAAUUGUCUCGGAUCGAUCUCUGCUGCAGCCGCAGCAUUAUGUGAAGGGAAAUAAGAUUGUGUUGUAGAUAAAGACAAUGUGGAGGGCAACGAGACGACGUUAAUGAAGUUGUGGAGAUCUGCAGUUUGGGAUGGGAAUCCAUGGCUUCCUAAUUGAGAUAGUGGGAAAUUUGAAGGCUGAUUAUGAUCCCAAUUAUGGUAAGCAUAAGGCAUGGCAUUAUUGACAAGACCUGGAAAGAAUGGAUGGUUGGUGCUAAUUCUGGUUAAGAAGUUGUUUGAUGAUGAAUUACCAUCAACAGUUCCUUCUUCCUUUUGGUCUGAUCCAGUGCUUAUAUCUUUCUGAUUUUCUUCUUCCUCCUCAUUUGUUGUGUCUCUUGCAAUUUCUUUUGAUUUCCCUCUCCAAAUAGCAUCCGAAUUUGUGCUCCAAAAAUGUGAUCUGGCCUGUGCAAUUCCACCACUAGGACCUUCUCCAUUAUCAUGAGAUAAUUGGGCAUGAGCAUGGGUUUGGACACCAUGAGAUGAAGUGAGGACUAAUGAUGGGUGAUUUAGGCCGAAAUUCCCAGAUGGUGGCAGCGGCAGCGGAGGAAGUUCAUCAAUUUCGUGCUUCGCGGCGUCAAGCAACCAAUCGACAACUUUGCUAGGCUGGUUAAGACCAAGCCUUUCUUGAAGGUCAUACAACUGUAUAGCAGUGGGUACAGAAAGCCUCACCCGCCGAUCUCGAAGCCCUUUUACGGUGCAAACCUUGCUGUGCCUGUCCUUUCCUCCAAAAGCUCUUGACACACGCACAAUCCUUGGAUCCUUCAACCUUAGCCAUGGUGUCGAUGGACGCGACAAAUCAUUAGCUUUUGUUGAGAAUUUAUUGGCUUGAUCAUCACGGCUUGAAUUGCCUGCUGCUUCUUGUAAAUCUGCUCCAUUGUGACUCUUAAUCAUCUUAUGUACUCUCUCGUCAUUGGUCAACUACUGGAAGAUUUCAUCUUUUCAGGUCAAGAUAAUUUGACUGAUGGGAUUUCUAUUCUCUCUCUCUUAUCAACUUUGCUUCAUGAUAUGCUUCUCCUCUUCUCCAAGUACAUGUUCUGAUCAUAAUCUGCUUCACCAUGAAUCGCCAAAGAAAAAAAUUUUUAAAAAAAAGGUGUAGAAUUGUUUCAUCUACGAAAUCCAAAGAAGCUUAAGAGAAGAAUAGAUCCAUAAGCCAUGGAAAUGUUUAUUCAACUUCUCCCAACACAAAGUAACAUUAAUAUCUCACAAAUUAAUCGAAUUGGGUAAUUAUCAAGUGACAAAUAUAUGCAGCUAGGUAUGUGAUGUUUAUAUAUAUAUAUAAUUAUGAAAGUAAAAUUUACCCAACUUACAUGAAAGUAAACAUUUUCUGCUUCUUGUUUUGCAGACCAGUUUUUGGUGCUUGAGCACUAGACAGAUGACCAAGAAAGACGUAGUGGUUUUGAUUUGCUCUAUCUCUGACUGUCUUGUUCAAGCUAUAAAUUGCCUUGUUAAUUUGGUAGAGCGCACAACUAAUAACUCAACCAAGCGGCCGCCUACAACGUUGAAGACUAAAAUAUUCUACAGCUGUGUGGAGAAUGAGAAUAAAAACUCGUUGAAGAAGAAGUAGAGAGAGAGAGAGAGAGAGAGAGAGAGAGAGAGCCCCGGAGAAGAAGAAGAACAAAAAAGGAGGGCGCCGGAAUUCCACCGACCUUGCUCUAAGGAAAGAUAAAGCAGUGGCGCAUACAGUGCCACGUGGCACACUAGCCCUCAACUGGAAUGAAAUGUGGGUGCAUCUAGCUACUAGUCGAUAUCUCAUCAUUUUCUCAUCACGCAUGCAUAAUGUUAAGUAAUCAAUUAUUGUGACAAAGUAACGAUUAUUAAUUUGGAGUAAUAUAAAAUUCUCUAGCUAGAUGCUAAAACCACGUUAUAUAUAUAUGACACGUUUUUAGGCGACACAUAGAGAGUAUUACACAUUGAAAUCAAAAUUAGAAAAUUCAAUUGGGGACCAUGCUGCACAUUCGAAAGUGGGGAGUCGAGCUUUAUCUUCAAGUAACUAAAGGCUUAGAUAUAUCCCUUUCACAUGCACGCCUAUGGUACUACGAAAGAUGGACAUGUUCAUGUGGGCAAACCCUUACUAGAUUGAAGAUUUCUUCCCAUAUCCAAAUAAUAUGUGUGGUCCAAUUUUACCGGUCGAUAGCAUAUAUAUAUCACAUGUCGGACAGUCUAACUAUAUGUUAUGUUGCGUGAGUAUUCCCUAUCAUACAUAAUCAAAUAUGGCAUAAUUAAGUGAGUAGAUUAGUGAGAGAGGAGCAAAUGGACAAGAAGAUUUCAUAUGGGUUAAGAAGAUUAAGUUUGGAUUAAAUUAGAAAGAUAUAUAGCAUAGGCUACAAAAAGUUGUGGUGUAUAUGGUGUUAAGCAUUAACAUGUGUAUGAUAAGGUACUUAAGACAGUGAGAAGCUACCUUAUAGGUGAGGGACCAAUGCAUGCAUUUGCUUUUAAAAGACCCACUGAGUGAGUAAUGAGAAGAAGGAAUAGGACCACACUACUUUUUUCUUGCAGAGAGAUAUGCACGGAGUAAUUCAAGAUUUGAGGACCUUGCAGCUGACACACUCUAUCUACCAGCCGUAAUAUAAUCAAAUUGAAUUCAUUCAUUUCUCUUUUCAAAACCCCCAAUUCAACCAUUGGAUUUAAUGAUCUCCAUCAUUCAUCCUUUUCCUUUAUUAUGAAUUAUUAUUAGUUUCCUACACUACAUGUGAUAUAUGUGCAUAUAUAUAUCAGAACUUCAAAACCCUAGUUGCAGCCGUCCAUCAGAAAGUGACCUAGGAAAAGCAAGCAGGACAAUAUAAAUUGAACUGGCUAGAAACCCUAAUUAAUUAC
rnacentral:lncRNA from 1 species